UUUAGUUUUGAUUGGGCGGGUAUUAAUUUUUUUUAGAAAUAUUCUAUGUUUUUAUGACGCAUUAUUUAAAUAUUGAAUAUUUUAUUAAAAAUAUUUAAAAUUAUAUUUAAUUAACGAUUUAGUUUUGAUUUUGGGGUAUUAAAAUUUUUUUAGCAAUAUUUAACACUUCUAUAGCGCGCCAAAUUUUAAUACUCAUCAAAAUUAAUUAAAUCUACUAUCUUAUGUAAAGAAAAAUUUACUAUUAUGAAUUGAAAUUCAAAUUAUCAAAUUCGCGGAUAUUAAAUUUUGGCGGGCAUUACAAAUUUAAAAUUUAAUUUUGAAUAUUAUGUAAUUGACAAGUAUUAUGUUUGAGAAAAAAAAAUAUUUGAGAAAACGCUUGAAUAGAAAUAAAUUUAAUUUUACGUAUUAUGUGAUUAGCGGAGGUAUUACGUGAUUGUCGGGUAUUACGCUAGAUAAGAGAUAAAUUUAGUUUUACGUAUUAUAUGAUUGGUGGGUAAAAUAAAAAAAAAUUUGAGAAACGCGGCGUAGAUAGGAGAUAACGGAUAUUGAGGAUAUUUUUGUCAAUAAAAAUGACAGAUACUUUUAUUUUUAUUCAUUGGAUGAGAUCCAAUGGCGAAAAUUUAAUAUUUAUAUUUGAGAAUAAAUUAUUAUUUGAAGAUUUAUUUAAAAUGUAUAAGAUAUAUUCUAUAUUUGAGAACAUAGAGAAUAUUUCGGUGGGUAUUAUUUAAAUAUUAAAUAUUUUGCUAAAAAUAUUUAAAAUUAUAUUUAAUUAACGAUUUAGUUUUGAUUGAAAUAUUCUAUACUUUUAUGACGCAUUAUUUAAAUAUUGAAUAUUUUGCUAAAAAUAUUUAAAAUUAUAUUUAAUUAACGAUUUAGUUUUGAUUGGGCGAGUAUUAAUUUUUUUUAAAAAUAUUCUACACUUUUAUGACGCAUUAUUUAAAUAUUGAAUAUUUUGCCAAAAAUAUUUCAAUAUAAUUAAUGAUUUAGUUUUGAUUUGAGGGUAUUAAAAGUUUUUUGACAAUAUUUAACGCUUCUAUGAUGCGCCAAAUUUUAAUACUCAUCAAAAUUAAAUUUACUAUCUUAUGUAAGAAAAAAUCUACUAUUAUAAAUUAAGAUUCAAAUUAUCAAAUUCGAGGGUAUUAAAUUUUGGCGGGUAUUACAAAUUUAAAAUUUAAUUUUGAAUACUACGUAUUGGCAGGUAUUACAUUUGAAAGGAAAAAAUAUUUGAGAAAACACGUUGAUAGGAAAUAAAUUUAAUUUUACGUAUUACGUGAUUAGCGGAGGUAUUACGUGAUUGAUAGGUAUUACGUUAGAUAAGAGAUAAAUUUAGUUUUACGUAUUACAUGAUUGAUGGGUAAAAAGAAAAUAUUUGAGAAACGCGGCGUAGAUAGGAGAUAACGAAUAUGGAGGGUAUUAAUGUCACAAAAAGUGACAGAUACUUUUAUUUUCAAUCGUUAAAUAAGAUCUAAUGGCAAAAAAUUAAUAUCUUUAUUUGAGAAUAAAUUAUUACUUAGUGAAUUAUUUGAAAUGAUUGGUUGAAAAUUACUGGAUAUGAAAAUAUUAGUAAAAAGGAUAGAGGCAUUUUUGGAAAGAGGAAACAAUUCAAAACUCACGCUUUUAUAAGUAGUAUAGAUAAAGAAGGAAUAAAUUAAAUUUAAUCCAUCUAAUUAAUUAACAUAAUAAAAGACAAUAAAUGAGAAUAAUUAUAAAAUUAAAUGAUAUUUAGAGAUUUUGAAUUUUUCACCAAUAUAAACAAUGGGAUUUUGCUACUAACAGUAACCCAGUCCAACUCAUAUAGAAUUAGGCUGGAAUACUAUUAAUAGUAAAACGCUCUUUUUGCUAUCAAGUUUUUAACCCUUGGAUGAAAAAUUNNNNNNNNNNNNNNNNNNNNNNNNNNNNNNNNNNNNNNNNNNNNNNNNNNNNNNNNNNNNNNNNNNNNNNNNNNNNNNNNNNNNNNNNNNNNNNNNNNNNNNNNNNNNNNNNNNNNNNNNNNNNNNNNNNNNNNNNNNNNNNNNNNNNNNNNNNNNNNNNNNNNNNNNNNNNNNNNNNNNNNNNNNNNNNNNNNNNNNNNNNNNNNNNNNNNNNNNNNNNNNNNNNNNNNNNNNNNNNNNNNNNNNNNNNNNNNNNNNNNNNNNNNNNNNNNNNNNNNNNNNNNNNNNNNNNNNNNNNNNNNNNNNNNNNNNNNNNNNNNNNNNNNNNNNNNNNNNNNNNNNNNNNNNNNNNNNNNNNNNNNNNNNNNNNNNNNNNNNNNNNNNNNNNNNNNNNNNNNNNNNNNNNNNNNNNNNNNNNNNNNNNNNNNNNNNNNNNNNNNNNNNNNNNNNNNNNNNNNNNNNNNNNNNNNNNNNNNNNNNNNNNNNNNNNNNNNNNNNNNNNNNNNNNNNNNNNNNNNNNNNNNNNNNNNNNNNNNNNNNNNNNNNNNNNNNNNNNNNNNNNNNNNNNNNNNNNNNNNNNNNNNNNNNNNNNNNNNNNNNNNNNNNNNNNNNNNNNNNNNNNNNNNNNNNNNNNNNNNNNNNNNNNNNNNNNNNNNNNNNNNNNNNNNNNNNNNNNNNNNNNNNNNNNNNNNNNNNNNNNNNNNNNNNNNNNNNNNNNNNNNNNNNNNNNNNNNNNNNNNNNNNNNNNNNNNNNNNNNNNNNNNNNNNNNNNNNNNNNNNNNNNNNNNNNNNNNNNNNNNNNNNNNNNNNNNNNNNNNNNNNNNNNNNNNNNNNNNNNNNNNNNNNNNNNNNNNNNNNNNNNNNNNNNNNNNNNNNNNNNNNNNNNNNNNNNNNNNNNNNNNNNNNNNNNNNNNNNNNNNNNNNNNNNNNNNNNNNNNNNNNNNNNNNNNNNNNNNNNNNNNNNNNNNNNNNNNNNNNNNNNNNNNNNNNNNNNNNNNNNNNNNNNNNNNNNNNNNNNNNNNNNNNNNNNNNNNNNNNNNNNNNNNNNNNNNNNNNNNNNNNNNNNNNNNNNNNNNNNNNNNNNNNNNNNNNNNNNNNNNNNNNNNNNNNNNNNNNNNNNNNNNNNNNNNNNNNNNNNNNNNNNNNNNNNNNNNNNNNNNNNNNNNNNNNNNNNNNNNNNNNNNNNNNNNNNNNNNNNNNNNNNNNNNNNNNNNNNNNNNNNNNNNNNNNUGCUAUAUCACCACUUUUUAUGAGAUUUUUAUUUUCAGCCGUUAAUUUUGAACCCUUUCGAUCGUUAGGUAAAUGAUAUCGAAAAAUCGCAAAAUUUAUUUUCUAGUUACUUCAAAUAUGCUAGAUCAAAUCUAACAGAGCCGAUCGCCGAUUCGAAAAUUCUAUAAUCGAAAACGGCUUAGGAGCACGGAGGCUUCCGUGCUCCUAAUAGCACACAAGACCUACUCUACAUAUAUAUAUAACUAGGCUGGAAUACUAUUAAUAGCACUAAUAACUUGGUGUUAUUAAGUUUUCUGUCCUUUAAUUAAAAGAUGUGCGGUUAGGAUGAUAUGGGCCCCCUAGCAUUGAGUAGGUAGUUAGUUAAAUAGUAUAAUCGAACGGAUGAAAAUGAUAAAAGAGGUAAAUCUAACGGCAGAAAACUUGAUAGCACCAAAUGGUUCGUGCUAUCGAUAGUACCCCAGCCGGACUCUCUCUCUCUCUCUCUCUCUCUCUCACUGUGUGUAUAUAUAUAUAUAUAUAUAUAUAUAGAGUUCGGCUACUAUACUAUUAUGAGUACGAUCGCUCUCGUACUCAUAAGUUGUUUUCGUUAAACGUUAAACAACGUUAAACGUUAUAUCUAGAGCAUUUGAAAUAUCCAGAAAUCAAAUUUCAUAAUUUUUCGACAUCAUUUACCUUACGAUCAAAAGCUCACAAAAUUGACAAUUUUUAACGGCCGGUAUGAAAUACUUGCUAGUUUAAUGGUGCAAAAGAAUCCGAAUAGGUUGAAUUUUUUAUAGAAAAUUCUAUUCACUACCUAGAUAAAGAUCAAUAACUCCGAUCUGAAAUUGAAGGAUCCGAUCAUCCUUUUUAAGACAUCGUUCGAUUUUGACCGUUCAUUUUAUGCUCGCUUGAUGGGCUUUAUUAUGAUUUUGAAAAAUUACGAAAUUUAUUUUCUAGAAGUUUCAAAUACUCUAGAUCAUAUUUAACGGAGUGGAUCGUCGAUUCGGAAGCUCCUUCAUCGAAAAGAACUUAUGAGUACGAAGGGCCCAAUACUGAUAAAUAGUAUAGUAACCCUACUCUAUAUAUAUAUAGAGUACGAUCGCACUUGUACUCAUAAGUUGUUUUUGAUAAUAGAGCUUCCGAAUCGACGAUCCACACCGUUAAACGUUAUCUAGAGCAUUAAAAUCAAAAUUUAUAAUUUUUCAACAUCAUUUACUUUACAAUUAAAAGGUCACAAAAUUGACAAUUUUUAACGGUUGGUAUGGGAUAUUUGCUAGUUUAACGGUGUACAAGAAUCGAAAUUGGUUGAAUUUUUUUAUAGAAAAUUCUUACAUGAAAGAAUGCCACUUACUUGCAUGGUUACUAUGUACAUAUCUCUCUACUACAUAGAGGUAAAAUUGUAUGAUACAUAAUGUAUGCAUUUUAAGCAUUCUAAAAUUUCCAUAUGCUCUAUCUAGUAUGAUAUGUAUGAUUUUUUAUUUUACAAUAAAGAAUAUAACAUAGGGGGAGUUCAUCCAUUUCGGUGAGGUCAAACCCACCGGAUCUCCUUGCAACCCUUUUAUUUGCGCGAACGAAUGUGCCCAUAAGUCUCCUAACUUCCUAGAGAAAAUUCUAAGAGGGUUAAACGAAAUGAACGAACACCACACGCGUUCAUCUUUAACCAACCCAACAUUAGGUCAAAACUCACCUUAUAUGGUGUAGAACUCUUCCAGACCUCAAAUGGUGGCUAGGAUCCUUCUAAUCCAACCUAAAAUGAAGUUCUACACCCAUCAAUUAAGUCCCAAAAGCUACAAAUCAAAAGCUCCCAAAUAAAACCCUAAAUUCUCAUUUCUAUGUUUUCAUCUCUAAAAAUCCAACAAAACAUGAUCUAAAAGGAAGAUCAAAGCUACUGACCUCUCUUGAAGCCCCAAACCAAACUAGGAGUGAGUUAGGGUUAAAAAUCUUUCCUCAAGAAAGCUCCACUCUCCAAUCCAAGGCUUCUCCAAUCGUGAAAAUUCAACAUGAAGCAAGAGGAGAGGAAAAGAGAUCAAUCCAAACAAAAACCUCAAGAAAAGAGAGAAAUCCAAGGGAGGGGAGCUCUACCUGUGCUCUCCACAGUUUAGGGCUCAAAAGAGCUCUCUAAGGUUGUGAGGUGUUAUAUAGAGUAGCUACAAUAGCAAAAACACCCCUUCAAAAUAAGCAGUCUGCGGACUGCCCUGCGUACCAGUGACACGGGGAAAAGUACCGGUACCAAGCUGCUGAGCUCGCCAAACCUGAGCCUCGGUCAAGCAGGAAAACACACUGCAUACCGGUACCAGGUCCAGUACCGGUACUCGGGCAAUACAUUACCGGUACUCUGCCUCGCAGAGCUCAAACCCGAGAGCUCUCCUCUCGGUUACGCAACGCCAUUCCGGUACCUCUUCUCUGGUACUAGUAUCGGUACCAGCACCCGAAAACCUACAGCUUGAAGGUUUUGGUGCUAAGUACUCAUCCUCGCUCCUCAAGACGCGAGUAAUGGGUCGGAUCACCGUCAACGACCCUUCAGAAAAUCUGGAAAAGCUCAGAACACUAAUCAAACACUCGAAUCUUACAAUUUGCUAAAGUUCAAUGUAUUACAUUCUCCCCUCCUAAAAGGGAGUUUUGUUCGCGAAACUGGAAUUCGCAUUUCUCAAGCCUCCAUCUGAAAGCGAUGGGGAUAGCGCUCCUGCAGUGCGCUCUCCAACUCCUGCGUAGCCUCUCGCUCAUCGUGGUUGCUCCAAAGAACCUUCACAUAAGGAAUAUCGCGAUUUCGAAACUUCUUCACAUCGCGGGCCAAAAUCCUCACUGGCUGCUCUUCAAAGCUCAAGUCCUCCCAUAACUCCAAUGGCAAAGCAUCCUAAACAUGAGUCGGGUCGAAGAUGUACUUUCGGAGGAUCGAAACAUGAAAGACAUUGUGCACUCCCGAUAGGUUCGGCGGUAGAGUAAGUCGAUAUGCUACCGGGCCUUCACGCUCCAAAAUCUCAUACGGUCUAAUAAACCGGGGGCUCAACUUACCCCGAAUACCAAAUCUUUUAAUUCCCUUAGUCGGCGAGACCUUUAAGAAUACAUGAUCUCCGACUUGGAAUUCCAAAUCUUGCCGAUGCUUAUCAGCGUAGCUCCUCUGUCGGCUUUGAGCUGUCAACAAACACUCCCGAGCAAUGCGAACUUUAUCCUCAGUUUCCUGGAGUACAUCGGGGCCUAAAGUCAGUCUCUCGCCAACUUCACUCCAAUGAAGAGGUGAUCUACACUUUCGUCUAUAAAGUGCUUCGAAAAGUGUCAUCUUCAUGCUUGCUUCAUAACUAUUGUUAUAAGCAAACUCUGCCAUCGGUAAAUGCUGUGACCAUCCUCCUUGGAAGUUUAUCACGCACGCUCGAAGCAUAUCCUCUAGAGUCUGAAUAGUGCGUUCCGAUUGCCCAUUACUCUGAGGGUGAAAAACCGUACUGAAAUCCAAAUGCGUACCCAAGGUAUCCUGCAGACUCCUCCAAAAAAGGGAUACAAAUCGGAGAUCUCGAUCUGAAACUAUUGAAGUAGGUGCCCCGUGAAGUUGUACAAUCUCAUCAAGAUAUACCUGUGCAAGUCUCUCACCUGUCCAAGUCGUGUGAAUAGGAAUAAAGUGAGCCGACUUCGUCAAUCUAUCCACGAUCACCCAAAUAGCAUCAUGCCCGGCUUGUGAGUGAGACAAUCCCAUAACAAAAUCCAUAAUGAUCCUUUCCCACUUCCACACGGGAAUAAGUAAACUUUGAAGUUUCCCAGCGGGUAAUCGGUGCUCAGCUUUCACUUGUUGACAAGUUAGACAUCGAGCUACAAACUCGCCAACAUUCUUUUUCAUCCCGGGCCACCAAUACAAUAACCUCAAGUCCUUGUACAUCUUGGUGCCUCCCGGAUGUAUAGCAUAAGAUGCAUGAUGAACUUCAAGAAGAAUAUCCUCUUUAAUUCCUGAUUCCGCCGGUAUACAAAUCCGCUCGCGGAAACGCAACAACACUUGGUCGUCCACAAGAAAAUCACCGGUGCAACCGUCAGCCAUUUUAGUUCGAAUCUUUUGCAACUCCACAUUAUGAACUUGCAUUUCUUUAAUCCUUUCCAACAAUGUUGGUUGCACCACCAAAGCCAUCAAUCUCAAGGGUGUAUCAGGAGCCACCACUUUCAACUCCAACCGUUUCAUUUGCUCAAUCAACGGGGGUUGUGUGGCUACAAGCAUCGCUAAGUUUUCCAUCGAUUUCCGACUUAGCGCAUCCGCCACCACGUCAGCCUUACCCGGGUGGUAGAGAGUCGUCAAAUCAUAAUCCUUGAGUUGCUCCAACCAUCUGCGCUGCCUCAAGUUCAACUCCUUCUGAGUGAAUAAAUACUUUAGGCUCUUGUGAUCCAUGUAUACUUCGCACCGCUCGCCAUAAAGAUAAUGUUGCAAUAGCUUUAAUGCAAAAACUACGGCCGCCAACUCCAAAUCAUGCGUAGGAUAGUUCUUUUCAUAUUCCUUCAAUUGGCAAGAUGCAUACACGAUCACUUUUCCGUCUUGCAUCAAGAUACAACCCAAUCCGUUAAAGGAAGUAUCACUAUAAAUCACAUAUCCUGCUCCUGCAAUAGGCAAGGUUAGGAUCGGGGCGGUCACCAACCGAUCCUUCAACUCUUGAAAGCUCUUCUCGCACGCAUCAUUCCAAAUCAAAUUGGUGCCUUUGUGCGUGAGCCGCGUGAGGGGAGUAGAUAAUUUUGCAAACCCCUCAACAAAUCUCCGAUAGUAACCGGCCAAUCCAAGGAAGCUCUGAAUUUCCGUGACAGUCAUCGGUCUAGGCCAAUCCUUGAUAGCUUCAAUCUUUCUAGGGUCCACGGCUAUACACGACCUCAAGAUCAAAUGUCCCGAAAAUGCAACUUCUUGAAGCCAAAAUUCACAUUUCUUCAGCUUGACAAAGAGCUUCUUUUCCCGAAGCAUUUGAAGUACAAGUCUUAAAUGCUCCUCGUGAUCCUUAUCACUUCGGGAAUAAACCAAAAUAUCGUCGAUGAACACCACGACGAAUCUGUCUAUAUAAGGCUUAAAAACACGGUUCAUUAGAUCUAUAAAAGCUGCCGGGGCAUUGGUAAGCCCAAACGGCAUAACAGUGAACUCUUAAUAUCCAUACCGUAUUCUAAAAGCCAUUUUCGACACAUCCUCAGGUUUGAUCUUUAACUGGUGAUAUCUCGACUGCAAGUCAAUCUUGGAAUACACCUUAGAUCCUUGAAGCUGAUUAAACAAAUCAUCAAUCCUCGGCAACGGAUACUUGUUCUUGAUCGUGACUUUAUAGAGCUCACGAUAAUCCACGCACAAGUGAAGUGAUCCGUCCUUCUUCUUCAUGAACAAAACUGGUGCUCCCCAAGGCGAGACGCUCGGUCGGAUGAAACUUUUAUCCAGUAAAUCCUGCAACUGUGCCCUCAGCUCUUUCAACUCAGCCGGUGCCAUCCUAUAGGGUGCCUUUGAGAUUGUAGUAGUCCAAGGAACGAGAUCUACCACAAACUCAAUCUCUCUAUCAGGCGGCAUGCUUGGUAGCUCCGCUGGAAACACAUCACAAAACUCCCGUACUACCGCCGGGAUAUCCUCAAUCCUAAGGGUGUCAUCACCACCCCUCAGCACAACACUAGCCAAGUAGGCCGUACAACCCAUGCUGAUCAACUGUCUAGCUCGAGACGAGCUGAUCGUCAUCGCAAACAGCGAACUCUGACAUCCCCUGAACACCACUUUCUCCUCCCCCGGUUCUCUAAAAAUUACCAUUCUAUUCUUGCAAUUGAUAAUGGCGAAAUACUUGGUAAGCCAAUCCAUGCCCAAAACCACAUCAAACUCUCCAAGUUUGUGCAAUGUAAGCAGAUCCAUGGGCAUGAUCCAAUCUCCUACCCGAACAGGGCAACUGGGGCAAAACUCCCGAAUGUCCAACGUGUGGUCGGGCACAACAACACGUUUAGGAUGCAACAAAGAUACAAAUGGGAUGCCAUGCAACUCGGCAAACAGCCGAUUUAUGAAUGAAUGCGAUGCACCGGUAUCAAAUAAUGCUCGAACUCUAAUGCUAUUUAAUAAAAUAAUACCUGCCACCACAUCCUCGGCGGCUGCCGCCUCCACUGUCUGGGCCGCGUACAUAAGUCCGCUCGGGGCCUGUCGUGACCCCUCAGUCUGUCUCUGGACGGGCGGCCGCCCAGUCUGGUGGUAAGUAGAAGGAGUCCCCUGGCUAGGACCCGGUGAAGCCGGUGCCAAUGCAGGCGAUGGCGCUGGAAUAGAGCCCCUCGGGCAAUUAGUAUGAAAAUGGCCCUCUUGGCGACAUAAGUAGCACCUGCCCUGAUGUCGUGUGCACUGUCGUGGAGGAUGAGAACCACCGUAGAUCACACAAUGCGGAGUCUGGGGAUGAUCAAAACCUCCGCGCUGCGCGGCCGAGCCGCACCCUCACGACUGGCUCUUGGGAUGUCUCGGCAGCCUCCUAGAGCGCGUCUGACUCGCACCCUCAGCCGCGGGCCUCUUACCCUUACCCUUGUCCAAGCCCUCUCGGCGCUCCUGUACAUCCGUCGUGCCACUUUCCACAAUGAGUGCGCGGUUCACCACAUCUCGAUAGGUCUAGAGGUUAGAGGAUUGCACAAACUGAAAAAUUGAUGGCCGAAAUCCACGCUCAAAAAUGCAGGCCUUGUCUUCGUCAUCCCGCACGACGAAAUGCACACAAUGCAAGAGUCAGAAGAACACCCGCUCGUACUCUGCCACAGUCCGAUCCCCCUGGUGCAAGCCGUGCAUAUCUAUUUCCAUCUGUCUUUUGACGCUAUCCGGGGAAUACAUGGACACAUCAAAAGCUCCUUAAACCACCUCCAAGAAAUAGCUGAUAGAUCGGUGUUGGGGUUAUCUCGAAUGUCCAACCACCAACGAUAGGCCUCGCCGUCAAGAUGGUGAGUAGCGAGCCAUACCCUAUCACGCUCCUCUACAAAGGUGUCGUGGAAUAAUUUCUCCAUAUGUAUAAGCCACUUCUCCAUGAUCUAGUGGUCCACUUUCUCCGCGUUGAAGAUCCGUAGGUUGCACCUCCUGAACUCGUUGAGGCGAUCCAUAAGUCGGUCUUGCUCCGCUCCCUCAACCAUCACCGAAAAAAUCGCUCCCGCCAAAGACACCUGAGCUGGUGGUGCCACAAAAACCUCCUCUCGAGGCUCAACAAUAGACGCCGCUCGCGGAACACCGGGCACGGGGGACGGCGCCCUCGUGCCACAUCCUCAACCGGUGCUGGUGGUGCGGGAACCUGAGCCUCCCUAGCAGCAGCCUGCUGAAGCAACAAGUCCUCCAGUCGCUUCAUCCGUGUCUCCUGUCGGUGCCCCACAUCGGCCUGCCGCUGCCCCGUCGCUGCCUGCUGAGCCACUAAAUCAGUGAGGACCGCAAGCUGGGUCCUCAAAUCUCGAACCUCACUAGAUCCGAAGGUAGCGUAGGUCUCCACCUCCUCAAGGUUUGCCGCAUUCUCCGCCCCAACUGAUUUAGAGCAAGUAGUUGGCAUGAUCACUACAAAAGCAUAAAAGCGCAAAUUAGUAAAACCCACGUUAUCGCAACCCCACUCAAAUAGAAUAAGACUCCCAAUCAUGCAAAAGUAAAGAAGUGUCUUUUACUACUAACUCCCGAUGUUACGUUGUUGGCCGCCAACGUAACCCUUCGCGAAGCUAGAAGCUAUACACUUCGAUUAAACUCCAACUUUUUAGAGUUAUCAUAAAACCCAAUCGUGAUACUUUCGCUUACAAGUCAAAUAGACCUCGUCUCUCACGAGCCUAUUUCCUAUAGUCCAAUCGGCCUAAGGUUUGCUAGGUCCACUAAGACUCAACCCUAGGCUGUGAUACCAAAAUAAUCUGUCACGCCCCGGGGCCCAGCGGAAGCCCGCCUGGCGCGUGUCCAGACUCGCCAUAUGCCUACAACAUAUAAGGCGUCUACAACAAUAGUAUAUGAAAAUAAGAAAGAUGAAGCAUCUAAUAGGAUAUCAGAGCAUAAAGACAUCUAUAUUCUAGCAACAAGUAGAAUGAAAAGGGCUAAACAACUAGCAUAAAUUAUAAAAUAACCAUACAACUGAGAUCCAUGAACAUAACGCUAAAUACAAAAAUAAUGGUCUCUAUACAUAGGGUACAAAAAAUCUCUCUCUCUUUCCAACUAGAACCAAAAGAGAGAUGACCACCUAGAGCAAUAAUCCUCGCUGUCUAGCUAAACGCGACCCCUUUGCCGCGGUCCCUAGGCUCUCCCGGUGCGGGUGGUUCUGAAAUAAAAACAUCAACAUAGAGGGCAUGAGAACUAUUAAUCAAUAGUUCCCAGUGGGUAAGCCGCCGACCUCAGCGAAAUACACCACUAGGUUAUAGAGGCAAGUAGUAAAAGUAAAUUGCAAUAAACAACAUAAAUAGUCAACAACUAUAACUUGCUAAGCUACUAUGCCUCAAAUAAGCAUGAUGUUCUUCAAGUAACAUUACUACUCUAUCAUGAUGAGUAUGUCGAACACAUGUCUACUAGAAUGCACUAGGCAUGUCCAAUAUGUCCGAUAGUAUGCACUAAGCAUGUCACUAUAUGCACCAAGCAUGUCACUAUAUGUACCAAGCAUGUCCGAGGAAUCCAACUACUAUAUACUAUCUAGUAGUGAUUGUCACAUUAACGGUUUACAUAUCAUUUUCCAAAUCCAAUUUAGGACUUACACGAGUGUAGUCUGGCUUGUGCCGCCUAAUGGCCUCGGGUAGUCCAGCAUUUUUUCGUAGGAAUGUGACUGUUCCACGGCGACCCAGUAGAGAACCCAAUACCGCACGGCGAGCAUAUGUCGUAUAGGCCAACUCCGGAGUGCCGGCUUGUGGGGAACGACCCUCACAAGCAUGUGCGAAUGAGCACAUAUGGCAAGCAAGCAUAAUCAUUAUCUCGAGUAUCCGGUCAUCAUGUCUCAAAUAUGGUAUAAAUACUAGCAACCCAAAGAUCUAGUUCUAUGUCAUAAUAUAAAGGUUUAACCGUUUACUAAGUCUAAUGCCAUUUUAUGACAUUAUGUUUUACUAUGUCAAUAUAUAUUCCAAGUCCAAUGUCAUUUUAUGACAUUAUGUUCACUAUGUCCAUAUAUGAGUUUUAAGUCCAAGAGCAUGUUAUACUUAUCAUUUUCACUAAAUGAAACAUGAUUUCAAGCCAUAUAAAAGAAUGCCACUCACUUGCAUGGUUACUAUGUACAUAUCUCUCUACUACAUAGAGGUAAAAUUUUAUGAUACAUAAUGUAUGCAUUUUAAGCAUUAUAAAAUUUCCAUAUGCUCUAUCUAGCAUGAAUAUGCAUGAUUUUUUAUUUUACAAUAAAGAAUAUAAUAUAGGAGGAGUUCACCCAUUUCGGUGAGGUCAAACCCACCGGAUUUCCUUGCAACCUUUUUAUUUGCGCAAACGAAGGUGCCCACAAGCCUCCUAACCCCCUAGAGAAAAUUCUAAGAGGGUUAAACGAAAUGAACGAACACCACACACGUUCAUCUUUAACUAACCCAACAUUAGGUCAAAACUCACCUUGUAUGGUGUAGAACUCUUCCAAACCUCAAAUGGUGGCUAGAAUCCUUCUAAUCCAAUCUAAAAUGAAGUUCUACACCUAUCAAUUAAGCCCCAAAAGCUACAAAUCAAAAACCCCCAAAUAAAACCCUAGAUUCUCAUUUCUAGGUUUUCAUCACUAAAAAUCCAACAAAACAUGAUCUAAAGGGAAGAUCAAAGCUACUGACCUCUCUUGAAUCCCCAAACCAAGUUAGGAGUGAGCUAGGGUUAGAAAUCUUUCCUCAAGAAAGCUCCACUCUCUAAUCCAAGGCUUCUCCAAUGGUGAAAAUCCAACAUGAAGCAAAGAGAAGAGGAAAAGAGAGAUCAAUCCAAGCAAAAACCUCAAGAAAAGAGAGAAAUCCAAGGGAGGGGUUCUCUACCUAUGCUCUCCACGGUUUAGGGCUCAAAAGAGCUCUCUAAGGCUAUGGGGUGUUAAAUAGAGUAGCUACAAUAGCAAAGACACCCCUCCAAAACAAGCAGUCUGCGGACUGCCCUGCGUACCGGUGACACCGGAAGAGUACCGGUACCAAGCUGCUGAGCUCGCCAAACCCGAGCCUCGGUCAAGCAGGAAAACACACUGCGUACCGAUACCCGCGCGAUGCAGUACCGGUACCAGGUCUAGUACCGGUACUCGAGCAAUGCAGUACCGGUAGUCUGCAUCGCAGAGCUCAAACCCGAGAGCUCCCCUCUCGAUUAUGCGACGCCGUUCCGGUACCCGUUCUCUGGUACCGAUACCAGCACCCCAAAACCUACAGUUUGAAGGUUUUGGUGCUAAGUACUCAUUUUUGCUCUUUAAGACGCGAGUAAUGGGUUGGAUCAUCGUCAACGACCCUCCAGAAAAUCUGAAAAAACUUAGAAUACUAAUCAAACACUCGAACCUUACAAUUUGCUAAAAUUCAGUGUGUUACACGAACGAACUAGAAAUAUACCUUUGCAUAAAACUUAUCAAAGAAAAAUAAUUUCUGACUGAGGAUAUAUAUUAAAUUUUGUGACCUUUUGAUCGUAAGAUAAAUGAUGUGAAAAAAUUAUAAAAUUUGAUUUCUAGAAGUUUUAAAUGCUCUAGAUAACGUUUAACGAUAUGGAUCGUUGAUUCAGAAGCUCUAUCAUCGAAAACGACUUAUAAGUACGAGGGCGAUCGUAUAUAGUAGCUGGACUCUCUCUCUCUCUCUCUCUCUCUCUCUCUCUCUCUCUCUCUUUCUAUAUAUAUAUAUAUAUAUAUAUAUAUAAUUGAGCUUCUAUANAAUAGUACCAACCCCUUGGUACUAUUAAGUUUUCGGCCGUUGGAUAAAAGGAUGUGCGGUUAGGAUGAUAGUGGUCCCCGGUUAAAUUGAUAGUGGUCCUCUAGGGUUGAGUGGGUGGUUGGUUUAAUAGUAUAAUCUAACGGGUGGAAAUGAUCAAAUGAUAGAUUUAACGGUAGAAAAUUCAAUAGUACCAAGGGCUUGGUACUAUUGAUAGUAUAGUAGCCGGACUAUAUAUAUAUAUAUAUAUAUAUAUAGUUAGGCUCCUGCACUUUCGAAAGCAUGGAGGCCUCCGUUUUUGUAAGUUAUUUUUGAUGAUAGGACAUCCGAUUCGAUAAUCGGCUCCGUCAGAUAUGAUCCACGAUAUUAGAACUAGUUUGAAGUCAAAUUUUAUAAUUUUUUUUAUUUCAUUUGCCUAAUGAAUGAGUAACCUCAAAAUGAACGGCUGAAAAUAAAAAUUUCAUAAAAAUAGUAAUAAAUGUUCAAAUUUCAAAUCGGAAGUGUUGAUUUUGCUCUUGAUGUUAAGUAAAAUUUGCUAUUAAAAUUUUAUAUAAUUUGGAUUCUUGUAUACCAUUGAACUUACAAACGUGCCACAUCAGUCAUUAAAAUAGUCAGUUUUGAGACCCAUUGAUUAUUUGGUAAAUGAUGUUGAAAAAUUACAAAAUUUAGUUUCUAAAUUAUUCUAAUAGAGUAAAUCAUAUUUAACUAAGCCAAUCGUCGAAUUAGAUGUCUCAUCAUCAAAACCAACUUAUAAGUAUGGAGGCCUUCAUGCUUUGGAAAGCGCCAGAGACGUACUGUAACGCCCCCAAUAGUCCCACAUCGGAUGGGAUACUGAUUCCGAUAAAUUUAUAUGAGGCCUACACGCUAGUAAUAAUAACUGAGCUUAAGCAUUUUGGGCGGGUGGUUUGGACCCAACGAGUUAUUGUUGCUACCAGGUCGGGUCGUUACAAUUGAUUGGAAUCAGUAUCCCAUCCGAUGUGGGACUAUUAGGAGCGUUACACGUACUCUCUCUCUCUCUCUCUCUCUCUCUCUCUCCUUCUCGGUCUACUACUAAAUAGCUACCUAUAUAGUACGGUGAUAUCUAUACUUAUAUAUAUAAUGCGAGGGCUGCUGUGCUCUCAGAAGCAACGGAGGCCUCCGGGUGCACUGAGCCCGUUUUCGACUGAUGGGAGUUUUCGAGAUUGAGACUGGCUCCGUUUAAACUUGACUCAUAUUUGAAGUUUCUAGAAAACUUUUAAUUUUUUGUGAUUUUCGAUACAUUUACUAGCAAUCGAUAAGGGAUUCAAAUCAAUAUAUUUAAACGGCUGAAAAUAAAAAUUCCUUACGUUAAAAAGUGGUGGAUGAUAGCAGUAAAAUUUUCGAUCGAGAAAUCAUUGAUCUUGUGUGUAGAUAGUAUACAAGGAAUUUUGUAUCAAGAAUUUCAGUCUGAUUUGAAUACUCUCUACACGUAACUUGAAACGACAUUAUAACCAACAUUUACAAAGAGUUAUGGAUUCUUGAAUCUUUCGAUCACUAGAGUAAAUGAUAUAAAACAGAAUCGCAAAAAUUAUUUUUCUAGGAACUUUAAAUGUGCCUAGAUCAAAGUCUAACGGAGGGCCGAUCGUCGAUUCGAAACAGUUCUCUCAUCGAGAAACACUCAGGAGGCACGGAGGGCUCCGUGUCAUGAUUUAUUUUCUUGGGUGUUUGAAAACAGAGAUGAAUGUUUAUUUUUUAUUCUUUCCUUUGGUGGUAAUUUGAUCACUAAGCUUCUGCGUAGAUUUUGAAAUUUUAUGUUCAAGUGAGGGCCAUAGCGUAUUUUGUGGGUGCAUUUUUUUCUUUGGAGAGACUGCAAUAAUCGCAUUAUCAUUUCAAACAACCGAUGCGUGGAUAACGCGAUGUGGCAAUCGAAUGUAGGCUAUGUAAUCAUCCCUUGGUAUUAUUUUUCUGGAAUUAUAUUGACCAGUGUCAUCUCUAUAAUUUUUUUUUUGCCUUCUUAAAAAUACUUGGCUGUUGAACUUACUUAUCAAGCUCUUUUUUUCAAUUAUAAAUAUUAUUGCAAAAUAGAGGAUAUGAUUGAAAGUGAAAAUUUAAAAGGGUGUAAUCAAUGCAAUGAAACUAGGUUUAGUAAACCUACAUUGAACCUCGAACGAUGAAAUUCUAAUUAAGUUGUCUUCUCUCUUAUUUCAAAUAAUAAUUUGAAUUCUAAAUUUUGCUUAAGAGUCAAUAAUUUCAUGGCUGUGAUAUUAAUUUUUUUUUUUUUUUUUGAGAAAAAGAUAGCACGCUACCCGCUUAAAUCAUUGGAACAAUAAAUUAAGCUACAUGGUGACAUCAUUUGUUAGUUAUGUUAGUUAAGGUGCAUAUCUUUCCUAACAUAUCCUCAAAAAUAGCAACAUAUAUAUAUAUUUUAUGGUCCCAUAUCAUGCAACAGCUUCAAUCCCAAGGAGAAAUAUAAUCAAAUCCAAUGGGGCCCCACUCCAUCAUUAAUUACUCACAUUAAAACAGAUGCCACUUUUCAAUUAAAAGGUAGGUUUUUUGAAUUUUUCUUUUUAAGAAAGAGAAAUCCACAUGUCCAAUUUUGCUAGGAGCUGAUCGGAUAAUUCAAAAUCGUUUAAAUCCAGCUAGUGAACCAACUAUUUCUAACGCAAGUGAUAAAUAAUUUGGUGGUCGGUCCUCGAGAUUUCAAAUUCGAUCGAUAUCUAAUUAUUUUUUAUUUUCAUCUAAGUUUAUUUUUUAAAAAAAAUAAACAAAGCAGAUAGCAUUCUACUUUUCUCUUAAAAAAAAAAAAAAAAAAUCCAGCUAGUGGAUAGUGACUAAGCUUGGUAAACCUGUCAGUUAAUAACAAAUCAUCUUUACUAGUAUUACCGUCACUUAUUUUACCCUCAAGGUCUAUUUAUUUUAGUGUAUAUUCCAGCUAUCUCAUUAAUAUAUAUUAGUCUUUAUAAAUAGAGUAUAGCUACUAUACUUAUACUUUCAAAAGUAUAGAAAGGUGGUGCUUCCAAUUUUUUGAUUCUUGGAUUAGUUUUUUUGACUAUUUCUAAUAUUUAGAAUAAUAUUACUAUCCUAAGGGGAACCACUCAAUCCUAAAAGGGACCAAUAUCAUCCGGAUCUUAUAAUUCUUGAUCCAAGAGCCAAAAAGUUGGAAGCACCAACUUUUUUAUAAUUCUAAAAUCAUAAUAGCUCUAUACUUAUAACUAAAGGGAUUAUAGUAAAUUUAUGAUAUAUCUAAGUUAAUUUUUUUUUAAAAAAAAAUCAAACAUAUAUAAGAAUAAUAUAAUAUUUCGACGUAUUCUACGAGACGAAAGAACUAGAAAUAUACCUUUGCAUGCUGAGGAUAUAUAUUAAAUUUUGUGGACCAAACACACCUAAAAGGAAACAGUUAGAUGGCAGGGGGAGAGAAAUCACUUGGAGCCACAUUUGAGAGACCAAGAAGUAGAUGAAAUUAAUGCAUGGAUAUUGAACGCACACAUCAUGGAGAUAACAAAAGAUCACGAGAGUUGAGAGAGAGAGAGAGAGAGAGAGAGAGAGAGAGAGAGAGAGAGAGGUGUGGAGGCAAAAUGCAUGUGAAGGGAUCUUGGAUUCAUGUGGGGAGGCACACCCUACACUCCAUUCAUAUUGACCCUCCAGUUGCUGAGCAAACGCUAAAGCUAAGCGUAGCCUAAAUCCCAAUUGCCAUAUAAUGCCAAGUANAAAAAUCGCAAAAAUUAUUUUCUAGGAACUUUAAAUGUGCUAGAUCAAGUCUAACGGAGCCGAUCGUCGAUUCGAAAAUUCUAUCAUCGAAAACGACUCAGGAGCACGGAGAGGCCUCCGUGCUAUGAUUUAUUUUCUUGGGUUUUGAAAACAGAGAUGAAUUUUUAUUUUUUAUUUUUCCUUUUGUGUAAUUUGAUCACUAAGCUUCUGCUACAUUUAAAUUUUUAUUUCAAGUAGGCCAAUAGCUUUUUGUGGGUCAUUUUUUUCUUUGGAAAAUGAAUAUCGCAUCAUCCAUUUCAAAACCGAUGCGAUAGCGAUGUGGCAAUCGAAUUAGCUAUGUAUCAUGCCCUUGUAAUUAUUUUUCUGGAUUAAUUAUGACCAUGUCAUCAUUAUAUUGCCUCUUAAAAAUAACUUGGCUGUUGAAUUACUUAUCAAGCUCUUUUUUCAAUUAUAAAUAUUAUUGCAAAAUUAAGGGAUAUGAUUAAAGUAAAAAUUUAAAAGCGAGUGUAUCAAUUGCAAUAAACUAAGGUUUAGUAAACCUACAUUGAACUCGACGAUAAAUUUAAUUAAUUGAUCUUUCUCUUAUUUCAAAUAAUAAUUUAAUUUAAGUUUUGCUUAAGAUGUCAUAAUUUCAUGGUGAUAUUAUUUUUUUUUUUUUUUUUCCGCUGAAAAUAAAAUCUAUAAAAAGUGGUGAUAUAGCACUAAAAUUUCGAUCAGAAAUAUUGAUCUUGUUGUAAAUAGUGACAAAGAAUUCUAAAUAUGAAAAUUUUAUGCUGAUUAAUACUUCUACACCACGUUAAACUUGAAACGCAGAUAUCAACGCAUGAAAAUUAUGAUUUUGAAUCUUUCGAGAUCCACUGAUAAUGAUAUAAAAAAAUUGUAAAAAUUAUUGCUAGAAACUUAAGCGUCCGUGCUCCAAAGCCGUUUUCGAUGAUGGAGCUUCCGAAUCGACGAUCGGCUCCAUUAGACUUAAUCUAGCCUAUUUGGACUAUCUAGAAAAUAAAUUUUGUGAUUUUUCGAUAUCAUUUACCUAGCGAUCGAAAGAGUUCAAAAUCAAUAAUUUUUAAUAGUUAAUGUAUAUUGUUUGCAAGUUUAACAGUGUAGAACUAUUCAAAUUAGAAAAAAAUUUGAUAGAAAAUUCUUUAUACUAUUUGCAGCAAGAUUAAUAUCUCUGAUCGAAAAUUUUAAUGCUAUAUUAUAACUUUUUGUAAGAUUUUUAUUUUCAGCUGUUGAUUUUAAACCCUUUCGAUCGCUAGGUAAUUAAAUGAUAUCGAAAAAUCAUAAAAUUUAUUUUCUAAAUACUUUAAAUACACUAGAUCAAAUCUAACGGAGCUAAUUGGAAAGUUUUAUCAUCGAAACGGCUUAGGAGCACGAAGGCCUCCGUACGCUUAAUAGCACACAAGACCUUCUCUCUCUCUCUCUCUCUCUCUCUCUCUCUCUCUCUCUCUCUCUCUCUAUAUAUAUAUAUAUUAUAUAUAGAGAGAGAGAGAGAGAGAGAGCUAGUCUCCUAUACUAUCUAUAGUACCGGAGCUCCGGUACUAUAGUCCCCUUUUCGAUAUUAGGGUGUUCAAAUCAACGAUCCACACCGUUAAAACUGAUCUAGCGUAUUUAAAGUUUUUAGAAAUAUAAUUUUAUACUUUUUCGACAAAAUUUACUUUAUGAUUAAACCAUUUCAAAAUUGUCAAUUUUCAAAGGCUAUUAUGGCGAGUUUGGAGUUUAACGGUGUAGAAGAAUCUAAAUUUCUUCAAAUUUUGAUAGAAAAUACUUUAAACUAUCUAGAUUAAGGUUAACAUUCUUGAUCUUGGAUUUAAAAGUCCUAUACUUAAAUUUUAAAGAUUAUUCAAUUUCCACCGUCCAUUUUGACAUAAUUUAUUUACUAAGUAAACGAUGUCGAAAAAAACUAAAAUUUUAUUUCUAAAAACUUCAUAUACCCUAGAUCACAUUUAACAGUGUGGAUCGUUAAUUUGAACACCCUAAGAUCGAAAAUAAAACUAUAGUACCAAAGCUUCGGUAUUAUAGAUAGUACUAAUUAUAUAUAUAUAUAUAUGUGUGUGUGUGUAUGUAUGUAUGUAUGUAUAUGCACAUGCAUAUAUGAAUAUAUACAACAAUAACAACUCUCUCACUCUCUUAUCCCUACUUCCUUAUAUAUAUCCUAACUCAUCUAUUUCUACUUCUCUUGCAAGGGAGAUGGAAGAUAGCCUCUUUACUCCCCCACCUCCUUCAUUGAUGCACCAGUAUCAUGACAGCCACCACGACCGUGAGUACGCGAAUCGCGACACCUACCGAGGAUUGUUCGCCUCCAACUUGGUGCUUCUGAUCGUACUGCCAUUACUCGUGCUCGCCUCGCUCGCCGUCAUCGCCUUCGUAGUCCUGCGAGUUUGUCGCAGGGGGAGUAAGCCUGAGAAUAUCAGCAGUAACAACAUCAGCAGCUACAACAGCAGCUUCCGAAAGCCCAGUUUCGGCACGAACCCGCUGUCGAAGUGUGGCAGUGAUCUGGACGCCAAAGUAUUCAUCAACAGCCCUGGUAAAAUCCGGUAUUCUUUGUUCCGUUGAUUCAUAAUUUAAGCUUACUUGGCAAUCCAUGCACAUAAAUAUUGAUGAUCUUUCUUUCUUUUAUUUUUCCCCUUUUUCCUAAGAUGUUGGUAGCUGUAUAUAUGGUGGUAAGUUGGGGUUUACUGCGAUGCAAGUUCGGAAUAACAAGAGACUGGGGCAAGUGUUCACCUACAAGGAGCUUGAGGCGGCCACUGAUGGGUUCAGUGAGAGCAAUGUGAUUGGUAAUGGGGGGUUCGGCGUCGUGUUUCGAGGCCGGUUGAGCGACGGCACCGUCGCGGCCAUCAAGAAGCUGCACAAGGAAGGGAAGCAAGGGGAGAGAGAGUUCCGGACAGAGGUAGUGACAGUACUAGUGUUCCUGAUCACCAAUUUUAGUUUUUUUUUUGAGAGAUAGGUAGCACGCUACCCGCUUUGCUUAUUUUAUUUAGAAAUAAACUUAGCUGGAAAUAUGAAUCAACUAGGAUUCGAACUUGGGUCUCGUGUACCAACCACCAAGCCCUUUGCCACUUGCUCCAGGGACGAUUGGUUCACCAAUUUUAGUUUUAGUUGGCAAAAAUGUAUGGAGAUCCAUCCAUCAACUGCAGGCCAUUUUGAAAUUUUGAAAUAGACCCCCUGCCCCCCUCAAAUAAGUCUCUUUCAAUUCAGAUCUUCUAAACUUUUGAUUAUUAUGAUUUGAGUUAUGAUGCUAUCAGUUGUUUAAAUAUAAUAAACGAGAUUUGCCGUUCGAUCAGGCAAAAUAGUGUUCAGAAAAUAUUAAUUCUAAUUUUAACGGAAUCGUCAUUAAAUUUUAACAAAAAUUUCCAAUUUAAUCAAAAGAAAAAUAGUUGAUGGGUCUAUUUUCACAAUGUACCAUUGCUCCUAUUAGUUUAUAUAUUUCUUGGCUUUAGUGGGCACUUGUUUAGUCUCUCUGUUCUUGUGGAACAAAUAAUCACAAUCAAACAUGCGCACCAAUUUUUUUAAUUAUGCUUUAGCCAUAAAAAAAGUUGAGAGAAUCAAAAACUAGGAUAUCAAUUUUUUUCCCUUUUUUUUUUUUUUUUGUUUGUUUGUUUGUUUGUUUCACCUAUUGUGUGAAAAUUAAUGAACUGCUAUUUAUCAGUUUCACAUCCGACUAUUUUCAGAUGCUUACAAAACCAACCACCACUAAUUGCUGUCACAUGCACAUCAAUGUGUCACCAAUCUUUCCUAAAUUUUAGAAUGCAAACAAGGUAGCAUUUACUCUUUCCUCAUAAGUGUGAUAGCAUGUAAAUAUAUUAGAAAGUAAUGUGAGGAAAAGAAUCAUAUAUGUUGAUAUCAAAAAGAUUUAUAUAUAUUUUGUUCAUCCAUAAUGCUUCAGUCUAACAUUUUGUUUCUUUUGUUUUUGUUAUAAUGAAUUGCAAUCCAAAAAAUGGGAAUGAUUUCUCUCGUUCUCGUGUAAUUGUAGGUCGAUCUUUUAAGCCGAUUGAACUCUCAUCACUUGGUAGGAUUAGUAGGCUACUGCGCGGAUCAAAACCACCGUCUGCUCGUGUUUGAGUUCAUGAGCAACGGAAGCCUGCAACAACAUCUGCACACCAGCUCAAAGGAGCAAAACUACCGACCGCUCGACUGGCGAACCAGGCUGCGAAUAGCAUUAGAUUGCGCUCGAGGACUCGAAUUCCUACAUGAGCAAACGGCCCCCGCAGUUAUCCAUAGGGACUUCAAAUGCAGUAAUAUCUUGUUAGACCAUAACUACCGAGCCAAAAUCUCCGAUUUCGGUAUGGCCAAGAUUGGGUCAGAUAAACUCAAUGGCCAAGUCCUCACAAGGGUACUUGGGACUACCGGAUAUCUCGCGCCAGAGUAAGAUCUGCGUACCGAUCGAUUGCUUCAUCUUUUACACAAAUAUAUAUAUGUUACCUUUUGAUAAAGUAUGGGGGGUGUGCGCGCGCGCGUGUAUAUAGGUAUGCAUCGACGGGGAGAUUGACGACAAAGUCAGAUGUUUAUAGCUACGGAGUGGUGCUUCUCGAGCUGCUGACCGGUCGGUCACCGGUUGAGACAAGGCGGCCUCCAGGGGAACAUGUUCUAGUCUCAUGGGUUUGUAACUUUUACUUGCUCUAUUUUCACUUGUGAAUAAAAAAAACUAUCAAUAAUUAAGUAAAUCUCAAAACUAUGGUAAACUUAUAAAUAUCUUAGUUCAUGAAAAGAAUCUUACUUCUAUGCUGUAUCUGAGAAUAAUUUUAUCUCAGCCUUGUUGUUGGUAAAGCAAGGUUUAUUUUCUCGUCUAAUAACCUUCAUGUCGACUCACUAACCGCGAUAUAUUAGGCCCUUCCGCGACUUACUAACCGUGGGAAAGUUGUGGAAAUGGUGGAUCCUACACUGAAAGGCCAAUUCUCGACGAAAGAUCUAAUUCAGGUUUGUUAAAGGAUUAUUAGGUGCAUUUCGAUCCUACACUUUGUGAUUAAGUUAAAGGAUUAUCGCGAUAAGAUUCGAUGACAUUUUUCGUCAUUUGUUGCGAUAGGUUGCGGCAAUCGCUGCUGUGUGUGUGCAGUCAGAAGCUGACUACCGACCGCUUAUGACCGAUGUCGUCCAGUCUCUAAUCCCUUUGGUUAAGAACAAGGGCGCAUUUUCUUGCCCUACGACUCCUCCCAAGUUUCCGCAGAAUAUGUUAGAGCCAUGAGGUAUGCAAGAAUUGCGCGAAAGAGUGUUGGAAAAAGUUUCUCGCAGAUCGGAGUGCAGGAAACAGGAGUGGUUUUUAUUCAGAGGAACAAUCUAUCUACUUCAAUUUUUUUUUCUUUUUUCUUUUUUUCUUUUUUUCCCUGUGUAAAGCAACUUAUCUUUGUAAUAUGCUAUAUGGGAGGGUGUUGUACAUUGAAUUGAAUGGGCCCUAAUAUGAUGACACCACAUCAUUUGUAGGAACAAUAAAUGUCAAUUAUGUUUGCUACUGGUAAAGUAAAUGCCAUGUGGUCAAGAAAUGGGAUAAAUUUUCUUAUUAUCAUUGUACAUUUAAUCUUCUUUAACAUUAAACAGAAAUUGGAUCAGAACUCAGAAAGGUUCAGUCAGUGAAUGAAAUUCUCCAAUCUCAGUGCUUUCUUUGGGUUGUUUGGAACAUUUGAGUAACAUGAUUUUUCUUUCCCUUUCUUUGCCUUUCGGAACAUUAAUUAGUAUGAUUUCAUACUAUUUCAUACUAUUUUAACUGGUGGUAUAUUAAGAAAAUUAAACAUCUAUACACUCUUGUUAAUCCCUAUAAUUUUGUCCACAUGGCGGGAUUAUCUUAACUAUUGACUGUAGAGCACACCUCCUCUAUUACUCAUAUCUUUUCCUUUAAUCUGCCCUCUUUUAAAGAUCAUAUCAUUUUUCCUUCUGUUCUUUCAGUAGAAAAGAAUUAUCAGAGACUUUGUCGUUUGCAAUUUCGUUUCUUCGGUUUCCUUGCUCCUCUUUUAAAUUCCUCAUAAAAUGAAACUUGAAAUCCCACUUCUUUUUUAUAUUGCAACGAUUUCUCAUCUCUUUUGAAAUAAUAAAUUAGACUGAAAUUCAAUUCUGCUCAACAUAUAUUCCAGAUAGAAAUGUUCAAUUCUGAUUGAAUAGAAUUAAAUUCUUCUGAAGUGAAAUCAAUUAUAUUCCAUGUAUAUUUUAACUCCAAGCAAGAGUACAAAGGGAUCAAAAAGAUUGUGACUUAACUUUUAUAUAUAUAUAUAUAUAUAUAUAGAGAGAGAGAGAGAGAGAGAGAGAGAGAGUAUGCGAGGCUACUAUGCUUUUGGAAGUACGGAGCCUUUCAGGUCGUUUUCGAUGUUGCGACUUUUGAAUCGUCGAUCGGCUCCGUUAAACUUGAUCUAAAGUAUUUGAAAUACUUAGAAAAUAAAUUAUGCGAUUUUUCGAUAUUAUUUGCCUAGUGAACAGGGACUCAAAAUCAACGACUGAAAAUAAAAAUCUUACAAAACAUAAUAAUAUGACAUUAAAAUGUUAGAUCAAAGANUGAUGUCAAAAAAUUAUAAAAUUUGGUUUCUAGAUAGUUCCAAUAGGGUAGAUUAUACCUAACGGAGCCGAUCGUCAAAUCGAAUGUCCUAUCAUCGAAAACAACUUACAAACACGGAGGUCCUGGUACUUUCGAAAGUAUAGUAGAGGCACUCUAUAUAUAUAUAUAUAUAUAUAUAUAUAUAUAUAUAGAGUUGAGCUAGAAUACUCUCAAAAGCACCAAGAGGUUGGUGCUUUUGAAUUUUUAACCCUUGGAUGGAGAGAUGUGAGAUUGAGAUGAUGGUGGUAGGUAGUGGUAGGUAGAAUAGCAUUUGAUCCAAGGGUUAUUAGUAAUCUAGGAGUAGAUCUAAUGGCUAAAAACUUAAUAGCACCAAGGGGAUGAUACUUCUAAAAAUAUUCUAGCUAUAUGUAUAUAUACUUUGAUCUUCUUAGUGCAUACGAAAGGGGUUAUAAAAAAAAAUUUUAAAAAAAAAAAAGUACUUUUUAACUCAGCUAAAGAUCCUUAAUAAUAAAGUGAAUAUUGUAGAAGAAUUGUAACUUUGGAUUUUUUGGGUGGAAGAAGCUCCAAGAACAGAAUUAUUACUAUUCACAAUAUAAUACAGCCUCGGUUAGUCUACAAAGGAAAUAAUCAAGAGACACAAUGGUAAUUUAGUUUCCUAUUCUAUAGCAGAGUUAUAAGAAAAUAUGCUAAUAGCUUCCUUUAUGUUAUAGCUCUAAUUAUAGACAUCUAUGCUGGUCUAAUGAAGGAGAGCAAGUCUUGGAGUUAAUUGAUCCUGGAGAGUGAUUGUCGCCUAUACGCCCCCGCAAGAUAGGUGUACCGUUGUGAACACCUAUCUUGGAAUGAAGAAGAGAAAAUUGCUGUCGUGCGAGAGGUUUUGUUAGCACGUAAGCAAGUUGCUCAUGAGUCGAUACAUGAGAUACAUUUAACGGUCCUAUGCUUACUUUAUCGCAAACGAAGUGGUAGCUAAUAGCUAUAUAUUUCAUCUUGCAGUGAAAGACCGGAUUAGCACAUACAUAUGUUGCACCAAUAUUGUCACAGUAAAUGGUCGGACUUUGGGAUAGUGAUACACCUAGCUCAUGCAGAAGCGACUGAAUCCAAGCCAACUCAAAUGCCGUAUCCGCAAUGGCACGAUAUUCAGCCUUAGUAGAAGAGCGGGCGACAAAUCAUUGCUUUCAUGAGCUCCAUGAAAUACGAUUAGUGCCAAGGAAUACAAUGUACGCAGAGGUGGAUGUACGAUCAUCUUUAUCAUCAGCCCAGUCAGCAUUAGAGAAAGCGUGUAGUAGUAAAUUAGAGUAGCACUUCAAGUGCAGUCCAUAAUUGAUAGUGCCGUUGAGAUAUCGAAGAAUUCGUUUGACUGCAAUCCACUGAAGCGCCGACAGUUGAUGCAUGAAUUGAGAUAAUUUGUUUACGGUAAAAGCUAUGUCCGGCCUUGUGAUAGAGAGAUAUUGAAGAGCACCAACAACUUUCCGAUACUGAGUAGCAUUUGUUGGAGGAAAGCCAUCAUGACGAGAUAGCGAGCAACUAGUCAGCAAUGGAUUAACAACAUCUUUCGCACCAAGCAUUUUAGUUCCAUCAAGGAUAUCACUUAUGUAUUUAUGUUGCGUGAGAAAUAAGUCCUGCAUUGUUGGUAUAACUUCAACCCCUAGGAAGUAAUGAAGAUCACCAAGAUCAUUAAGAGAAAACCUGCCAGAAAGAGCUUGGACAAAACUAUGUAGAAAUGAUUUAUCAUUUUCUAUAAGUAUUAGGUCAUCAACAUUAAACUCUAUACUAAAGUUGAAACCAAAUGCCGUUUCUCCAUCAAGCCACGUGGCCUUUUUUUUAUAUGGAUUUUCUCUCUCUCCCUCAUAUGCUCUCCCUCCCUCACAUGGACUCACAUGGGUUAUGUUAAAUGGGCACGUACUAUGCAAAAUUUUGUUUCAUGCACCUUCUGUAUCAUGUUAAACAAUAAUGAUUUUAAAGGCAAGCGGCUAUGUUAAAGGGGCAUAUACUAUGGAACAUUUUGUUCCAUGCACUCUAUAUCAUGUUAAACAAUAAUGAUUUUAAAGACAAGCUCAAUUAAAAUUAACCAGAAAAACGUCAUCUUAAUUUUACAGUUCUAAACCUUUUCUUUGUCGCCGAAAGGUCUACCAACUAAAAUCUUUAUCAGAUUGCUACUAUUUUUCGCCCUCACUUUUGGAGUGUCAAAAUGACACGAAGCGCUCGCCCCCGCCUGCGCCUCCGCGCUCGCAGCGUGGCGCGGGCAGGUGGGCGCGCGGGGCGGGGCGCCGCGUGGCAUCGUAUUUGAUAAUAUAUAUUAUAUAUUUAGUUAUCUUACAUAAUAUGAAUAUUAUAUAUAUCUGUAUGUUUCGUGAUAAAUAAAUAUAAUAAAAGUCAUAUUAUUAGCUCUCAAUGUUACGACCUCCCGCCGCAAAGCGCGGGUCAUUACACUAGUAUACAAGAAAGUAGGCCACUAGUAUUCCAUCAUGUCGAUAGAUGAAAAGAGAACAAUCAGAUUUUGAUUAAGUGAACCCAUAUUCAGUGAGAAAACUACUAAGUGCGUGAUACCAAGCCUGAGGGGCAUGUUUGAGACCAUAAAUUGCUUUCUUAAGUCGAUAGACAUGAGUAGGUGAGGAGCGAUCAACAAAUCCUGGCGAUUGUUGCAUAUAAACAACUUCAGUGAGAGAUCCAUGUAAGAAGCCAUUGUUCACAUCCAGCUGAUGAAGAGAUCAUCUUUGAGUUAAAGCAAGGCAAAGAAUAGUUCGUAUGAUGGUAGUAUGUUUAACGACCGGGCUAAACGUCUCAUGAUAGUCUGGUCCAGGUCUCUGAUGGAAGCCUUUGGCGAUGAGUCAUGCUUUAUAGCGUGCAACACUACAAUUGGGAUGCCUUUUGAUACGAAAUACCCAUUUGCAACCAACAACAUUGUAAUGAGGUUGAGGAGCAACCAACUCCUAAGUGCCAUUACGAAGAAAGGCAGUAAAUUCUUCAGGCAUAGCAGUUCGCAAGUUUGGAUCUUGGAUAGCUUGAGAUACACAGUGUAACGACUUAGCCCACUAGCAAUAAUAACUCGUUGGGCCGGUUGGGCCCAAAAUGUUUAAGCUCAGUUAUUAUUACUAGUAUGGGAUUAUUGGAGUGUGACAAACUCUCCCCGUUAAGACCCUGACGUCCUCGUCAGUCCAAUCACACACACAGCCCAAGAUUACCAGGCAAUGUGAGACUCGUCUCGCUAGUCUUGUCAUCCAGACCCUGGCAUAGUCGGUCGUCUUGUCAUUCAGACUCCGACAUAGCCUAUCACCUUGUCUUUCAGACUCUGGCUCAGCCGAAACUUGUCAUACAUUUCCGAUUGAUGAACUAGCUCUGAUACCAAAUGUAACGACCCAGCCUACUAGCAAUAAUAAUUCGUUGGGCCCAACCAUUGGCCCAAAAUACUUAAGCCUAGUUAUUAUUACUAGUGUCUAAGUCUCUUAUAUACCCAAUCACAACCCCAUUCAUAUCCGAUGUAGAAUUAUUGGGGUGUGACACACAGGUUGGUUCCAUAAUAGUGGGAAUAGGAUGCUUCUAUGUAGUAUGGAGCUGUUUAGGCUUAAAAAUAUUAUUUUGGGAUCUAGUGGUCAUAGGAUGUGUGCGUUGGAAGGGGAAGUGACAACAAUAGGUGCCGCAGUUUCAAUCAAUCAACAGCUUUGUGAGGUACAUCCAAAAUUGCAGGCAAGCUACUGUUACUUCCAAGUAAUUAACUAGCGCCUCACUUUGGUACUGCUCCCUUUUUCUUGUUUCUUAAACUCAAAUUCUAUGUGAUUAAAUGAAACACCAGAUGAGAACAUACACACCUGGGAUUGUGUUUGGAAAUAAAGGAACAAGAUACUACUAUAUAGCAACUUUUUAUUUUCUCCUUUGCGUUAUGUAGGAAAAAAACAAAACAAAACAAAACAAAACAAAACAAACAAACAAACACCACUCUGCAUAUUGCCGGGGCAAGUUGAAAUCUAACUGAUAAUAGCAAGGAUGGAGAAAUCUGUCCACUGGUGCAUUCAAUCACUAUAGAAUUUUGAGUUUGGAAAAAGAAUAAAAUAAAGGAACGAAGGGGUACCAACCGUAUUUUGAGCACUACAACUGCAUUGAUACAUGAGCACUGCAACUACACUGAAACAGCAAGAGAGCACCAUUGUGUUCUACUCUUCAAUAGAGCGGAGGAAAAACAAAACAUUAACUUUCUGGCCAGAUUUCGUUGCACAGCUAACAAAUGAAGCACGUCAUUAGAAAGUGUUUUUCCAAGAUAUUUACUGUAACAAGUUUUCCUUAGAGAAGAAGCUAGCUUCGACUAUCAUAAAUGCUAAAUCUUUUGCAAACAACUUCACAAUUGAACAAUCCAAAUUGAUCUACAAUACUAAGACAAUAUAAUAAAUUAAGAGUCAAAUACUUGGGUGCCUCUAAUCCAAACAUCAAACCAUCACAAAUAUGCAGAGUAGCACCGAUAAAUAAAUAAAUAAACAAAUAACAUAUAUAUAUAGAUAUAUAUAUAUAUAUAUAUAUAGAGAGAGAGAGAGAGAGAGAGAGAGAGACUAAUAACAUCACACACUUGGUGCUACCAACUUUUCCACCAUUAAAUCUAAUAUCUUUCAUCAUUCCUACCCAGUAGAUCAAUAUUGUUCCACCAACUACCAUUAAACCCUAAGAGGAUCACUAUUAUCCCAACCCCACAAUCCUUCAUCCAAGGACUACUAAUUUAAAAGUUAAAAAGCCCAAAUAUUUCUAAAAGAAUUUUAGCUCAAUUCAUAUAGAACUAGUGUAGUAAUCCGUGCGAUGCGACGGACAAAAAAUUAGAAAAAAAUUAAAAAUAUUAAUGAUAUAUCUUUUCAUAAAUUUUUAAAUAAUUUAUAUUUGAUUGAUUAUAAAUUAUUCAAACGUGUAGGGAAUCUGUAUGUAUGAGUCAACCGUUUAAAAAUAAAUGAAGACAUUACAUGUUUGCUAUAUAUACUUUAUCAUCGUAUUUUAUAUCAAUAUUAAUAAUAAAUUAAUACAAAUAUCAGUUAAUUUUUUUUCUAAAAAAAGUCCAGUCCUUAAUGAGAAUUUCUAUAAAAACAAGAGAAAACUUCAAAAAACCCCCUAUGGUUUCGCACGUUUUCAUUUUAGUACCCUGUGGUUAAAAGUGUAUAAAGUUAGUACCCCGUGGUUUUGCACUUUCUCACUUUAGUACCAUGUGGUUUAAAGUGUAUCAAGUUAGUACUCUGUGAUUUUAUUUUUGUAUCAAGUUAGUACCCUAUGGUUUUAUUUUUGUAUCAAGUUAGUAUCGUGGUUUUAUUUUUGUAUCAAGUUAGUAUUCUGUGAUUUUUAAACCACAGGGGUACUAAAGUGAGAAAGUGCGAAACCACAGGGUACUAACUUCAUACACUUUAAACCACAGGGUACUAAAGUGAGAAAGUGCAAAACCACAGGGUACUAAUUUAAUAUACUUUAAACCACAGGGUACUAAAGUGAGAAAGAGUGAAACCACAAGGGGAAUAUUUGAAGUUUUCCCAGAAAACAAAGAGAAGAGAAAAAGAGCAUAGAUUUGACCGAGCUCGGCUCAAGCAAGAAAGAGGACACCGGUUCGGUUCAAGCAAGAAAGAGGACACCGGUUCAGUUCAAGCAAAGAAAAAAAAAAUCUGGUUUGGUUCAAGCAACAAAAGAAGAGAACCUGAGCUAGUUCAAGGUGGAGCUCUUAUUCAACAAUUAUUGGUUCAGUUCAGAUAAAUUAAAAGAGAAAUCCGGUUCAAAGAUAGAAAUAUAUAGAGCAAUUGGUUUGGCUCGACCCGGUUCAACAUGACCCGGUUCAACAUUAUUGGUUCGGUUCAGAUAAUUAAAAAAGAAAUCUAGUUCAAAGAUGGAAAUAUAUAGAAUUAUUGAUUCGGUCUAAUGAAGCAAGUUGAUGCGGUUUGGUUCAAGCACAAAUAGAGAAAAAUUAUAUAAUUAUUUGGAGAACUUGAGCCGGUUCAAGGUCGCACCCAACAACCUAGUUUGGUUCAAACAAAGAAAGAGAAAUUGGUAGAGCCCAUAUUUAAUUUAAUAAAGAAAGAGAAUGAUGCCAUGUGGCAAAGUUUAAGAGAAAUAAUGUAUAGGUAAUUAGGCAUAGAUUAGGAUAUAAUACUAUCAGCUUUUGUGCUACCAAAUAGUUUUCAAUGUUGCAACUUCUAAAUCAACGAUCGACUCCGUUCACUUGAUCUACACUAUUGGAAGUAUCUAAAAACAAAAUUUCAUGAUUUUUCCAACAUCAUUUACCCUAUUGAACAAGUACUCUAAAAAUAAUCGGCUGAAAAUAAAAAUUUCAUAAAAAUAAUGAUAAAAGACUUGAAUUUCAGAUAAGAGGUACUGAUCUUAAUCUAGAUAGUGAAAAGAAUUUUCUAUCAAAAUUUCAUUGAAUUUGCAUUGUCCUAUAGCAUGAAACUAAACGCAUAACAUCUGCUGCUAAAAUUGUCAAUGUUGAGACUUCUGAUCAGUAGUCAAAUGAUACCAAAAAAUAUAAAAUUUGGUUUCUAAAUACUUCUAAUAGCAUAAAUCAAAUCUAUUGGACGCGAUCAUCGAUUCAAAAACCGCACCACUAAAAACAACUCAGUGGCAUGGAGGCCGCCGUGCUACCUAUAGUAUUCAACCCUCAUUUUAUAUAUAUACAUAUAUACAUAUACAUAUACAUACACAUACCCGCACCCGCACACGCGCGUGCGCGCGCGCACACACGAGCACGAUCGUCUUCAUACUAAUAAGCCGUUUUCGAGGAUAAAACUUCCGAAUCGACGAUCUAUUCUGGUAAACAUAAUUUAAAGCAUUUAAAUAUUUUAGAGACCGAAUUUUUUAAUAUUUUUAUAUCAUAUACCUUGCAACCAAAAGGCCUCAAAUUGACAUUUUUAAUGGCUAUUAAGGGGCGUUUCCUAGUUAAUGGUGUAAGAAUUGGCAUCGGCUGAAGUUUUUAAAUAAAAUUCUAUUUACUCUAUAUAUCAAGAUCAAUAACUCUGAUCUCGAAUUUACCCACUUGAUGCACAAGCAAAAAGUUUUCUGAAUUAAAUGAUAUCAUCUACAUAAACAGUCCAAGAUCGUAUUCAUACUCAUAAGCCGUUUUCAAGGAUAAAGCUUCCAAAUCAACGAUCUAUGCUGGUAAACAUAAUUUAGAACAUUCAAACAUUUUAGAGACCGAAUUUUAUAAUUUUUUUAUAUCAUAUACCUUGCGAUCAAAAGGCAUCAAAAUUGACAUUUUUAACGGCUGUUAAGGGGCUUUUCCUAGUUAACAGUGAAAGAAUUGGAAUUGGCUGUUAAGGGGCGAUUUAAAUUUAGAUAACAUAACAUAACUUCUGCUAGUCAUGAAGUGUUGAAUCUCAUAUAGAAGAUUUGUUGAUAUAGUGUAUUCAUCCAACAAUCUCUCCCUUUUUAACUGGUUCAUUGCAAUUAAACAAACCUACUGACCAACAACACUAGCGAUCACAAGCUAAAUGAACACAAUCUUCUAAAAAGGCAAAAAAGGAAACAAAAAGAAAAUGGUAUGAAAGUUCAAGCAAACCAACCCAACCCUGGAAGUAUGCUUUCACAAUCAAACUAAUCACUGUCUACAAUAUAGGGCAAUUUGAUGGAACAAAGCAUCGGAGAGUGCGUCGAAAAAUGAGAAAGGUAGUGACACACAAUAACUUAACCUCCACGAGCUUCUCUCCGGGUGGCAUCAUGGAGGAUAUCUAUAUCUACUCCAUCAGGAGGAAGCUGAACAUACCUCACCACAGAUCCCCGAAUAAAGCAGUUCCUCACUGAUAACUGCAACAAAAUUUAUCCAAGGAAAACAAAUGUCAUGUUUUCGGACCUGAUCUUUCAAGCUGACUUUUAAAACACUAAACGGAUGAUCAGUAAAUGAAUGUCCUAAUGUUAGAAUAACACUGUGUGAACUCUAAAGCAAUACGACCAAACUUGAGUUACGUCACACCAAAAUGCAAUGAAAUAAUAACGCGGCAGGUAAAAAGUGUGGUGCAGAGAACAUGAUUGCAAUAAAAGCCAGAAAUAGCAAAUGUUGUCUAAGUAGUUCGAUAUCUUCGGCACAGAACCAUAUGCAUAAGGAUGUUGUAACUAAAUGCAUAUAUGCGCUUACAUUCACAGAUGAUGUGAAGAAUCAACUCAAAACAUUUUAUCAGCGGAUGUAGCCAGAGGAAGGACCUCGUAAUUAAAUGCAUAUAUAAACUUACAUUCACAGAUGAUGUGAAGAACUAACUCAAAAAAUUUUAUCAGCGGAUGCAGCCAGAGGAACCAAGCAAAUAUUCAGCAACGAAUAUCAUGGUGAUUCUAGUAACUAAAAGCAACUCUACAUUAGAUGAUCUGAGAUUCCAACUUUAUUGCAAGAUAGUAGCUUAAACAGAUUCCUUUCAGGCUCUUUUAGAAUAAUUACAAUAAAUCCACAAAAUUAGUUCAAGUGGAAAUUCUGGUUCCUAUGAAACUUGAAAAAUCUGAUCUAAGAGUUCAAUGAAACAAAGAAAAGAAACCCUAAGGACUCAAAAGAGAGAACUCUUAGACAUUUUUGUACGACCGUAAACCCAGUACAAUUAUCACUAGGAGACAUCCUAAUUAACCUUUCAGCUGGGAAGAAAUUUUCUGUAAACCUAGGUGCAGGAAGUUCCCGCUCCCUACUUACAGGGCUUGUUCUGGCUGUUCACAGGAUCUUCAUAAAAACAAUUAGAGUUCACAUAAAUUACACCUUCUGAAAUAGAUUUCUUCCCAACUUUUUAUAUUCUUUUCUAUGAUAUUACUCAAAAUUUUCUGAAGGCUUUCCAAUCAAUGGAACUUAUAUGCUUCGUAUAAGACCUAGAAAAUAAGCAACAAAGAACUAAAGAAGUAAGACAAAGUUAAAUACAGAGAAAGAGUUGAGAGAGAGAGAGAGAGAGAGAGAUGCCUGCAUCCUGAUGAGCCAAGAGAACCUCCAUGAUGGAAGACCAUAGCUUACUUAGAAACCAUUUAGAUCUCCCUCUCUUCUAACCACUUUCUUAUCAUUUUGAAUCAAAACUGAUCAAAGAAAACAAAUGGGAAGAAGAUGUGAUUGUGCCCCCCACAGCCCUUCCUUUUUCCCCCCUCUCCUUGUUUUCCUUAUCCAACAACUGCUGUGUAUAUAGAGUGUCCCCCGCCCCGUUCCUUUCUCCCCCCUCAGCUCUCCUUUCUAGUUUUCCUUGUCCAACAAGUUUCUUAUAUAAAGAGUGGUUGAACUGACUAGAUGAUUAUAGCCACCCGGCAAGACACAUCAGAUAAAUCAACUAGGCUACACAUUAUUUUAACAUGGAUAUGUUAAAUUUCUUUUUAAAAAACUUACUGAUUUGAGCUUAAGAACAGAGAGAGCUAGCAAUCAAAAAAAAACUCUAACACCUAAAUGCGGCGGAGGGAACUUUUCCCAAUGACUCAUGUCAUAGCACAAAAUUGCACGCGCUUGGUUCACUGCCGAUCGGUUAGCAAAUCAUAAAUUUAAAUUCAAUAGGUAUGACCAAAACUUAUAAUUUUAAAAAUGCAGAUCUUUUGAAUGCCAUAAAGCACGGUUAAUGAAUUACGUUCUAAUUUUUGAGUUCUCUAUGGUUAAGUUUCAGGAGUGCAAUGCAAGGUGCGCUGGGGGCAUGCAGUAACUUCUAUAUUGUAUAAGGUAUAGACUAAAUUGACCAAAGUAGCUCUCUCCUUUGAAUCUCAUGCUGUCUAUACUGAAAACAUCUAUGGACUUUAGGUGCAGACAUGUACCCCAGCCAAAUAUUGCGUGCAUCUGGUGUAGUAUGGACCAGAUUAGAAUAUGGACCAGAUUAGAAAACCACAAGUUCUCAUCCAAUAUAAGCACCUGAUAUGACCGUUAAAAUUUAAGACUUCUGAAUAUCAUCGAACACGUUCGACAAAUUAUAUUCUUCAUUUCAGUCCUCUCGUAAUGUUCAGGAGUUUGAUGCAUGUGCACCUGCAACCUGGUGGUUUUUUUCAAUGUUUUGAAAGGUAAUAUGUGAUAUCCACGCGGUUACAAACCACAUACCGCAUAUGCGAUAUGUAGGUGCAUAUCGCAUAUCUAUAUGCGAUACAACUAUUAAAAUAUUAAAAAAUAUUUAUAGGUCCUAUAUAUAUAUAUAUAUAUAUACAUAUUACAUAAUGUAUAAUAUAUAUUAUAUUAACAUAUGUAUAUAUAUAUGAUAUAUAAUGAUAUACAUCUGUAUAUAUACAUAUAAUAUCAUAUGUAUAUACUAUAUAUAUAAUAUAUACAACUAAUUAUAUAUGUAUAAUAUAUUAUAUAUAUUAUAGAAUUAGGCUGUAAUACUAUUAAUAGUAUUUGGACUUUUUGCUAUUGAUUUUUAACCCUUGAAUGAAAAAUUGCAGAGUUAGGAUGAUAGUGGUCCCCAUAAGGUCUAAAUGAGUCCUCUAGGGUUGAGUGGGUAGUUGUUGAAUAGUAUAAAUCUAAAAGGUGGAAUUGAUUAAAGUAUGAUCUAACAGCUAUAAAAAUCGAUAGCAAAAGAGCCAAACACUAUUAAUAGUAUUCCAGCUCAACUAUAUAUAUAUAUAUAUAUAUAUAUAUAUAUAUAAUUAAGAGAGAAGAGAGAGAGAGAGAGAGAGAAAGAGAGAAGAGAGAGAGUUGAGGCUAGACAUAGACGUAGAACACAACCCCUUGGUGGGGGUUGGUGCUUCUAGGUAGUGUUCUAAACCCUUAGAUCAAACCCUUUGACUAUUAAUAGCCUUUGGAUCAAACACUAUUCCACCUACCACCACCUACCACCAUCAUCCUACCCCUAACAUCACUCAUCCAAGGAAUACAAACCCAAAGCACCAACCCGUUGUGCUUUUCGGAGUAUCUAGCUCAAUAAUAUAUAUAUAUAUAUAUUAUAUAAUAUAUAUAUAUAUAUAUAUAGAGAGAGAAGAGAGAGAGAGAGAGAGAGAGUUGAGCUAGAAUGCUAUCGAUAGCAAAACGACUCCGGUUGCACCCAUAUUGUUUUCGAUGAUGGAGCCUUAAAUCGACGAUGCAGCACUGUUGAAUAUGAUCAUCCAAACUUGAAACUAUCUAGAACCAAAUUUAAAUCUUUCGACAUCAUUGACCUAAUGAUUAAAGGGUUUCAAAAUUUAAAAUUUCAAUGGUAAAUAUAAGCGUUUUCUCAUUAACGGUGUAAAGGCUAUUCAAUCAAUUGAAUUUUGGUCAGAAAAUUCUUUAACGACUAUUUAGAACAAGAUCUAUACUCUCGAAUCUUGAUUACAAAUUCCUAUCAUCACUUUUAUAGAGAUAUUCAUUUUCAGCCGUCCUCAAUUUACGUCCACUUGAGAGACGAAAGAGAACAAUAUGGAAAAAGCAUGAAAUUUGAUUUCUAGAUACUUCAAGUGUAUAGAUCAUGUUCAAUGGCGCCGAUCACCGAUUUGAAGACUUCAUCAUCAAAAACAAUGAGUGGCAACGGAGCCCGUUUGCUACAGAUAGUAUUCCAGCUCACUACUAUAUAUAUAUAUAAAGCAAGCUACUGUGGCGCUAUUAGGAGCACAGGCAGCCCUUGUGCUUUUAAACUCUAAUUGGAUGAGAGAGAGAAGUGAAAUUGAGAAAUUGGGUGUCUCAAUUUCUAUUUUUUUUUGAAUUUCUCUCAAUUUUUCCUCUCUCUCAUCCGAACACCGAUCUAAAAUUGAUAAUGGUUAGAAGUAAGGAACACAAGGUUGUUGUGCUCCUAAUAGCACAGUAGCUACCUAUAUAUAUAUAUAUAUAUAUAUAUAUAUAUAUAUAAUAUAUAUAUAUAUAUUAAUAAUUAUAAUAUAUAUAUAUACACUUCCUAACAAAGCAAACUAACUAAAGUAACAAUUCAAAAUUCACAACUUGAAAUAAUUAACAUCAAGUAACGGACUUUGUAUGAAUACAUGUACAACUAAACUAAUAAUUAGCAAUUCUCUUAAUUAUUUAAUAUAGAAGUAAAUAGAAUUUUGAUGCAAAAUUAUAAAAACUGUCAAACAAAAAUCAAUGUUCUAAAAUGUAGUAUAAUAAAUUUUACAAAAAAAUAAUAAUUUUUUCAAUAGACUGUUAUUCACAUCAAUCGACAGGCCAACACUUAAGAAAACAAAUAUAGUAUAGGGGCAAUUGCUUAUAUACCCCUAAAAAAUUUCCGACUUUCCGAUUUACCUCUCUUAGAAGGCUAAUAUUGAAAAUACCCUUUCUACGUUCCAACCUAUUUCUAAUAUACCCCUAGAGUUAAAAUCUGUUAAUUAACUCUGUUAUCUCUGUAAAAUUACUAUUUUGCUCUUUCAAAUAUACUCUUCCACCAUCAUUGACUUUCUUAUUUGCCCUUAAAGUCGGGGGCACAAAAAGUAUUUUGACUUUUGGCCUUUUCCAAUAUACUCCUCUACCGUCACCAACAUUUCUUAUUUGCCCUUAAGUUAAGGGCAAAAUUGGCAUUUUAAUUUUUUUUAACUGUGGUAAAUAUUUAACUCACGUUUAACCCAAGUCAACUUAGCAGGAGAUAACUUGUAAGGAAGUGAAUUCUCGAAAUCUGAGAGUUAGACUUCGAUUAAAAAAUCGACUUCUUGUCGCGUUGGUAUGUCUCGGAAAGUCCGAAAACAUCAUAAAUGCAAAAGGUGCAUUGUUGGAGGUUUUCGAGAGCUAUGGAAUCAAAAAUCUGCAUACUGCAGCUUUUGAGCUCUCGGGAACCGGUCCCUAGUGGGAGAGACCCUAGUGGGAGAGACCAGUCCCCGAACGUGAAGAAUCUCAGAGAUGGGAAAAAUCGGCUAAGUCCCAGAAAACCAGCUCUCGAGAACCGGUCCCUGCGGGGAGAGACCGGUCCCAUCAGGAGGGACCGGUUGCACCGUGCGAGGGCUCCGCUGAGUUGCGGGAGAGCUCUCUGGGACCGGUCCCAUGCUCGAGAGACCGGUCCCCGAAGCCCGAAAUUGCCCAGGUUGGGCUGUGUCAUGAAGACAAAGUUGAGGAAUUUUUAUGCAAUUGUAGCAUGAGUUAGGGGUAUAUGAGAGGGUGAGCUCUCUCUCUUUCUCAUUUCUCUCCCAAACACAAACCUAAGCCUCUCUCUCUCUAAUCUCUCUUCAUCUCUCUCUAGAAGGUGAAGAAGAGAAGGGAUUUGGUGGAGAAACAAGCAAGGAGAGGGAUCUUCAUCUUCUUCUCCUUCCUCUACACCUGGGAGCUAGCUUUUAGAGGUAAGCUUCUAGGCUCAACCAUGGUAAAUUUCUAGGGUUUGGAUUUUAUACUCUAGAAUCGGUUUAGUUGGAACUCUAGCAUGCUUAAUAAGUGUUUAAUGCAUGAGUUUGAGGAUUUAGAGUUUGAUUCUUGCAUGAUUGCAAGUAGAGCUCCAAAAAUGGGAUUUCGUGAUUUGUUAGGUAUUGAUCUAAAUUGAUCGAGUGUAAAUCUAAUUGCUAGGUGUUUAAACGCGUAGGCAAAGACGGUUCGACGAUUCGUCGAGCGGGUGCAAAGUUACGAGCAAAAAGUACCUUCCAAGCUUCGUUUCCGCCUGGGAGGCCGAGACGACGUCAUAAAGUCGCCGAACUUCAUUCCUAGAGUCGUGACAACGCCAGAAGGUGGGUGGUGUCAUCCCGAAGCAACCGGGCUCCUCUUUAUGUCUUAAUACAUUUUAAAUCUUGCAUCUCUUACAUAUAAGCAUUGUAAGAUAAAUGUGCAUUUCCAUUCCUUAUGCUUUCCUAGAUGAUAUCGUAGUGUGAGUUGAAUGCUUGAUAUAGUGGAUAAAUAAGAAUUGGGUCGAGACAUUGAAUCCUAUAGUGCUGAGAUAAGAGAUGGACUCAAUAGUUGAUAGAGACAUAACGAGUGGCAUGUAGACAACAAUGACAACAGAACGAGUGGCAUUAAACUUAGUGUAAAGUAGCACUCGACAUGUGAACUUAGGGAUAGGCGGAUUCCCUAUUGAUGAGUCAUUGAACAAGAACUUUGUGUAGUUAAACACUUGCAUAUGGACUUUGGGAUAGGUGGAUUCCCGAGUGAUAGUUAGCCCUAGUGGAUAGGGUAUCCUCGAGUUGAGAGGGUUGGAUCAUAUUCGCUGUUUGUUUAGAACUUGUGUUGGUCGCUCCUCACAAGUGUGCGCUCCGGAGUUUAGUCACUUGAGGGAUAGCCUUAUGGGGUCCCUGGGAAAGCCUUAUGGGGUCCCGCAAACGGUCUCAGGUUUGUGAACGAGUUGAGUUUCCUUACCAUGAGAUGCAUGUGAGUCGCAGGCGAACCUCAGGGUUGGCCAAGGAUUGGGUAAGUUAAGAAUUGAUGAACAAUAAGGAACAUUAUUUCUUGGACAUAGUGGCAUGUUAGUAAACCACUUACUAUAUGAUGCAUGCAUACAUUAUUGAUGAUUGGGCAUAGUAGCAUAGUUUUCCUACUAUUGCAUUUACAGCUUUGAUAUCUAUCAACCUAUCUAUCUGCUUGUGCCCAUUUGGACCUAAUGGGGAGAUCGGCGGAGUCGGCGGCCGAACCCGCUGGGAACUAUGGACAAUAGUUCUCACCCCACUUUGUUGCAGGACCGAGUACGAGCGCUCCGGGCGAGGAUCGCGGUAAGGGCUUAGCGCCCUUGCAUAGUGGCUCUCCUACUGCAUUAGAGAUACCUACCUAUAUGAGAGUAGAUGAUGUAUGGGUUGCGAGGUGCAUUUUGGAGAGAUGUGAAUAAACUGUACCUAUUUCUGAAUGAAACGAAAAUGUAAAUUGUAUAAAUGGACAAAUCAUGAUGUAAUAGAUAGAACACUCUUUUCGCACUUGUAUAGAUACUUGUGUUACUUGCUCUUGUUGUUGUGCACUUAUGGUGCUUCUAUGGUCGUUGUUUGGAUCAUGUAUGUAUUGAAUUGUUCCUGGGCGAAUUCUCGUACAUAAUCCCGUGCUUGAGCCUUGGGCGGACAGGGGAGUUGCUGUCCAUUCGGCGUCUGUUCGACGUGCCCGAACCGGACCAAAUAGGUAGCGGUCUCGGGGCGUGACAUAACUGCAUGGGUAUUUUGCAAUAACGGUGGAGCAUAUGAGGGGUAUUUUAGAAAAGAAAAAAAAUAGGGGUAAAUUGAAUAUUUUCAAAUGUAUGAGGGGUAUAUAGGCAAUUAUCCCUAUAGUAUAUAGCAUCCAACAACUAUAAAAGUAUAUAUAUAUAUAUAUAUAUAUAUAUAUAUAUAUAUAUAUAUAUUAAGUAUAUAUAUAUUAUGAUAACAUCCAACAACUAUAAAAUUAUUUACCAAUAUUUAUAAACAUAAUUAUGAGAUAUGUAAGGGAUAACACCUACUAAAAUGAGAAGAGAGAUAGUUAGGUUAUACUUGAAUAAAGAUAAUUGUAUUUAUAUGCAUUAUUAUUUAUUAAACUUGUACAAAAAUAGUCAUAUAUAUGUAUAAUUACUAAUUACUAAUCAAAUAAUCCCAUUCAACGCUACAUUUCAAUCCCACCUUAGGGGAAAAAGAAAAAAAAGACACAACCGCAUAUAAGGGUUUCAAGUGCCGCCCGUGCUGUACGGCACGGCGGCGUGCCGUACCGUGCCCCCAAGAAGAGGGCACGGUACAGGGGGUGUCUCGGACUGCCCCCGUCUCGCGGCACGCACAUGCGUGCCGUUCAAGACAAAGCGGCAUGCAGGUGCGUGCCGGCGGCACGUACCGUGCGUGCCGCCCCCUUCUUUUUUUUUUUCUUUUUGGCUUUUUUUCUGGCUUUUUUUUUGGCUUUUUUUUUUCUUUUGUUCUCUGGGGUAUCGAGCCCCUGCCGAGCCACCUAUAUUGUCUUUUUUUUUCACUUUAUUGUCUUUUUUUCAACUUUUUUUUUGCUUUUUGGUGGAUGCCUUUUUUUAACUUCUUAUUUAUCAAUAUAGGAGCAAAUUUUUAAUUGACAUAUCUGAUCCAUACCGCGAGCCCUCCGCUUCCACCACAAACAUCUAUUUUUUCUUCGCAAAAUAUUUUGUCAAAAUUUGUCGCACCGCGAAGCUUUCGGUGAAUCAAGGGAAUAAAAAUCGAUCUCCUAAACAAAUUUUGAUCAUAUACUUUUAAAAAGAAUAAAAGAACAAAAAAAUAUAGAUGUAAUAUCGAGAAUAUAUGACUUUCUCACAAUACUAGCAAAUACUUAUAUCAACAUUGUCAAAUAAAUCUUGUAUCUGCAGAUGACAAUAUGCCAUAUGAUCAAGCGUGACGAUCUAUGUCGAAUUAAGCAGUCAUCUCUAUGUAAAUAUGUAAAUUUAAAUAAUUAUUGUACUUGUGAAUUUUAUUAUUGUAUUUUGAUUUCUAUUCUACAUCAGGUAUAGUUGUAUUUUACUUACAAAAAGCUUACAUGAAUAUUAAUUGAUGAGUAUAGUAAGGUAUACAUAGUAAAUAUUCAUAAUUAUUUAUUUAAAUCUUUCAAAAUAACAUUAUAAGAGUUUAUUGGAACCAAAAAAACUGAAAUAAGUCCGUGCCAAAGCGUGCCAGUCGAAGGGCAUGCAUAUCUAUCGGUACGCAAGCGUGCCACGUGUCGGCACGCAAGCAUGCCUGUGCCGUGCCGUGCCGUGCCGUGCCAAGGACAUAACGGCACGCCCCCGUGCCACGGCACUUUAAACCUUGCCACAUAUGCAGCCGCAUAUGUGGCCGCCUACCGCAUAUGUGGUCCGAUCACAUAUUGCGCUGCUUACAUAUGCAAUGCGGUUGAUGGUUCGAGCAGCAUCUACAGCCACAUAGGCCACUUUUUGGAACAUUGGGUUCCUUUUCUUUUGUGGACAAAAGCACCUGGUGCACCUAGUGUAUAGACUGGAAAAACAAAACAACCUUCUCCUGUGUUCCAAUCUAAAAGAUGUUCUAUAACUUAUGUUCUUUUUAUAUGAAGACCUUUUGAAUGUCAUAGAACACAUUCAACAAGUUAAAUUCUGAUUUUUAUUCUCUAUGACUGGGUUUUAGGAGUGUAAUCCACAAUACACGGGUGCACACAGCAAUUUGUAAAAAUUAUGAGGUAUAGACUAAACUGACAAACAUAGCUAUCUUGUUUGCAACCCAACCCUGUCAAGUGUCAAUAUUGAAAAAUUUCAUGGACUCGAUACAUGUCCUAGCCAAAUAUUGCAAGCACCGUCAUGAAGAAUUAGGUGGGGAAGAAAAUUAUGAGUCCUGAUCCAACAGAUGGAUAUUUUCUUGGGAUCGGCAUCAACACCGUUGUGAACUUUUCCCUAUUCUUGCCGUAGUGGUGGUAUUUUGGAUUGUUGGAAGAUGAACGAGGGAAGAAGAGGCGUAUGUUGAUGAUGCGGCAUGCAACAGAGAAAGCUAUUUUGAUUUGAUAGUCUAUAGGGGGUAACUCUUCUUCUCCGAUAAAAGGCGGCAACAUGCGCAUAACGGUUGCAAGUAGCACGACCCCCUUAUCCUUUUCUUAUUCUCCAAAGAGAUGUAGCAGCAAAGUGGGAGGGGUGGCAACAAGGAGAAGUUCAUAGAUUAGGUUUAUACAAAGAAAAGAGUCCCGCAUCAAAGUGCCAGCUGUAUUCUAUAGUUCCUGCUCUAUCCAAGAUGGGGCUAAUCAUCAGCUCAAAAUGCUUAAGACCAAGUUGCCAUUAUUACAAUUCUUGUCCUUAUAUACCUCUGCAUAGUUAUUUCACUACCCAAUAUGGGACUAUUGAGGUGUAACACCUUUACCUCAUUUAGGUUUUGACAUCCUCGUGAGGCCCACUAACACAAUUUGGCAUUGCCAUACGAUGUGGGAUUCUAAACGCCAUCACCCCCCCCCCCCCCCCUCCCCGACUCUUCGACGGCGUUACCCAAUCAACGGAGGCUUAAACGCCAUAUUUCAAACAUAAAAGCAGUGGAUCAAACACCCCCCACCCCCGGAUGCUCCAAUCCAAGCUCAAAAUCUUCUAGGGUUGAAGUUGGUCCACCACUAAGCUCUACAAGCAAGCUCCAAGCCUUGCCAAGGUGGGAAAGAGAGAAAGGGGUUGAGCUCCAAGCUCCCUCAAACUAGCUCCUCUUCUUCUUCUCCUCCUUCUUCUUCUUCUCCUUCUUCUUCUUCUCUCUCUAGAAGGUGUAGGGUGGUGAGAAAUGAGGAGGGAAGGGAGUGAAAUGGCUAAUAAGCCCAUCUAGAGUAACAAAAUCCAACCAGGCCCCUCAAAAACCCAAUAUUACAUCAGCCCGAACUGGGCAGUUUUCGCCCAGAGGGACCGGUCUCUCCCCAGCUGGGACCGGUCUCUCGCUGCGAACCCGAAAAACCAGCGUUCGGGAACCGGUCUCUCUCUGCGCGGAACCGGUCUCUCACUGCGAGAACGCGUUCGGGAACCGGUCUCGCCCGCCAGGGACCGGUUGCCUCAGGCUGCCUCAAUACUGCUCACUGGGGGAACCGGUCUCUCAUUCCAGGGACCGGUCCCCGAGAGUAAAAACUCUCAGGACUUGUCCAGAAUUCCAGUUUUCGAACGUUUUAGGUCGGAAUACAUUCUACAACCCUCCACCAAGUGUGGAAAAGCUCGAAAUACAACCAAACACUCGAACCUCGCAAUUUGCAAAGGUCCAGUGUGUUACACUCACUCUCUCUCUCUAGGGAUUUUCUCUCUCUAUAAAGAAAUCGCCGAUUUAGCCGUUUUCGUCGCAACGCGGCUUUUUUGCGGAUUGCGAGGGUCGCUGAGCUUUGGUGGACGUGUGAGGGAGUAUUUUGGAGAGCUUUUCGUAGCUCUGGACCAGUAGUUCACUGGUUGGAGGCCUGAGGAGGUAAUCGACUCAAUCUUUCCAUUAUUAAUGUUCUAUUGUUGAUUUGAGUGUUGAUUUUGAGGUUGUUGCUUCCAACUGACUUAAACUGAGAAUUCAGCUAUUAAAGAUGANCCCCCCCGACCUCUUCGACAGCAUCUGGAUAAUAGCCAUGACGUAGGCACCUACUGGUUGUUUCCCACUAAGCAAGUUAUAUAUCGGACAAUCCAAUACCGAAAGCCAAGCCCACAUGAAGAUUAGGGUUUUCGCUCUGGAGUGGAGCCUAAUCUUGGUCAAAAAGCAAGGGAAACAGCAGGAGAAAAACCGAAACGAAGAUGAAGAUGGUAAGAUGGUAAGAUGGUAAGAUUAGGGUUGAAGAGGGAUUUGGUUACCAUGUGGGGGUACUUGUCCUGGUCGACGACGCGGGUGUUCUCGAGCUUGAUGUUGAGAUACUGGUCGACGGAGUGGAGGAUGCCCCGGAUGGCCAGGUCGUUCUUCAGCUCCACCGUCACCUCCUUCCCCACCAGCUCCUUGAAGUACGAGAAGAACAGCUGCCGGCAUCAUCAUCAUCAUCAUCAUCAUCAUCAGAAACAAGGACAAGAAGAUGAAAAGGCAAAGGGAAGACUGAUCGUUCGUACGUACCAUCUCGAUCUUGCGUGCGACAAGCUCCGACGGUGGAGGGCGGGCGACGAGCGUCGGAGCGACUACUUGUUUGCUUUCUCAAACACGAAAAGCAAAAACAAAACCUUCGCUCUCUGCCGCUUCGGCCGGGGUUAAGAUAGAAAGAAAGAUCACUUGAGGGACUUUCAAGUCCGAGCCGGACUCAAGAAUAGAAAAUGCCUAAUUCAAGCAGGUCCAGUCUUUUCAUCUUUUACUACCUUAAUAAAUGUCGGAGAUACCGUCCGUCCGCAGAGCAAGUAGCAAAGAAUUUGAUGGUUAAUAUCCGAGAUCCCAAAUUCGAAUCCUAGUUAAUUCAUAUUUUCAGCUAAGUUUAUUUCUAAAUAAAAUAUGUGAAACAGGUGGGAUGCUAGCUAUCUAUCAAAAAUAAAUAAAUAAAUGUCGGAGAUAGUGAACGAGGCUGAAAAUUAAUUUUAAAGCUAAGGCUCAACUUUAACUUAAAAUUAAUUCAAGUCGAACUUGAACUUUGAAUUAGCCUAACAUCGAGUCCAGCAAGCUCGAGCUCUAAACAAGCCGAUUGAAAUCUCUAAUAUUGUGCAGCAUAUGGUUUAAUUUUUAUACUAUAUUGUCUAGAACUAGAUAUAAAAAUAUGUCUAAUAGUGCAAUAUAAAAAAUAUAUAUAUGAAAUACACUAGUAUAAUAUUAAAAAAAAUAAUUUAUGAGUUAAUAUAUCUAAUUUUGUAACUGCUCACUUCUAUUUGUAUUUUUGUUCUAGCAUUACAUGUCUUAUCUUUUGCAUCAAACUUCAUAUCAUCUAUUUUCAACCAUACUAUCAAAAAAAAAGCACGUAUCUCCACGUUGUGGGCCUUGCAGAGGUGUAUGUGGUCCACCUCAAAUCACGCAUCGAGAUGGCUGUUGACCUCAUGAGUCCCCGAGAUGACGAUGAGUUGCACUCUCGAGACCGGCUCCUAGAAUGUUUCGAUGGCAUCCUUGAGCUUGACUUGCAAUUUAAGCCCUCAGCCACUUGUCUUUUGCCCUUCACUUUUCUUAGGAUUUCUCUUUCCGUCUUUACAAUCUUUGGGCCUUUCUCCACUAUCGAGGUACAAUCCAUAACCUCUUAAAAUGUCUGGAGGUCUACUAUCUGCACCAACCUAUAAAUGACCGUCUAAGGCCCAACUCAAACAUUUGAGCCUUGUCCUCAUCGUCCCUCACCAUAUGAGAAAUGCAAUUCAACAGUCGAGAGAACUUUCUCUCGUACUCUGCUAUUGCCAUGUCCCCCAGCGAAGAUUGUAAGGGUCUCGCUCCAUCUAUCUGUUGACACUUUAUGGGAAGUAUGCCAUGGAAAGUAAUUCCUUGAACCUCUCUAUGUGAUUGCUGUCAAGUCCGUGUUAGGAUCAUCUUGGAUCCUCGCUCACUAUAGACAGUGUAAAGUAUUUAAUAGUUCUCAUUCCUAUUUUGUUGAUGCUUUUGUUUACAGAGCCAUCCACACCGGAAAAGGCUAGGGACUGCAGCAAAGGAGUCGCGUCUAGCUAGACUUAGAUCGCAGUUUCUACUAGGUGGUUAUCUCUCUUUUUGUUUUAGUUGGAGAGAGAGAUGUUGUACCCUAUGUAUAGAGACCGCCACUUUUGUAUUCAGCUUUUAUUUAUGUGAAUUACUUGGUGUACUAUUUUGUGGAUCAUGUUGUUUAGUAUUUUACUUUCCUAUACUUAUCUUUAGUGAGUAGAUUAUGUUUCAUGCUCUAAUAUCAUGUUAGAAGUUGUUCUUUUCCGGUUUUAUUAUAUCUUGAUGAUGUAGACGCCUUGUAACACACUGGACCUUUGCAAAUUGCGAGGUUCGAGUGUUUUAUCUGUGUUUUGAGCUUUUUCAGAUAUUCUGGAGGGUCGUAGACAGUGUUCCGACCCAUGGCUCGCAUCUCGAGAAUUGAGAUUUAAAACUUAGCACCAAAAUCCAAAAGAUUGGAUUUUUGGGUCUGCUCUCGGGUUGCCUCAGCAGGGCUGUGUACCGGUCCAGUCUUGAUGGUUGUACCGAUACAGAAAGUGUACCGGUACACCUUGAUGGUUGUACCGGUACAAAUGUGGUGAAUGGCCAACCCGAGGCUCGGAUUUGGUGUCUCGCAGGAUGUAAUACACUGAACUUUUGCCAAUUGCAGAGUUCGAGUGUGUGGAAGGCAAAGUGGAACUAUCCUAUAUAUUCUAAAAGGCUUGGACAAGUUUUUGGACAAGUUAGAGGGUGAUUGGAAAGCUAAAAGCAAGAAAGUGCAUUGAUCUGGCGAAAUCAAUGUUUUCCUGCUUGCUGUACCGGUACAGCCAUCACCUUGUACCGGUACAGACUGGCAGAAAAGUGGCAGCAAGGGUCUUUUGGUCAUUUCACAUUCUAAUACUUAUCUACCUGACCCAGCUCGACUUCUGGAGCACCUUGGAAGGUAGUNGCAAGCUGGACUACCUUGAGUAGGUCCCUGUGAAUGAAAGGAAAGUGCUAAAGGGAAUUGGACAGUAAUGAAUGAUUACCCGUUACAGUGUAUAGUAGUUACUUACACAUUUAUGCAUAUGUUCAUGCUUAUCAUAGUUGCUAUGCUUCUAUUAUUCAGUUGACUCAUUACUGUUGAAACUAUGAUUACAUGUUGCUUACAUGCUCAUUACCUGUUAGCAUUGCAUAAUUAUUUAUCAUGCAUUUACUGUUUUCGCUUUCAUUUAGUACAUCGUGAGCCUAGUGGUGUAAUUCGCCGAGCUGGCGGCUUACCCACUGGGAACUAUUGUUAAUAGUUCUCACGCCCUUUUUAUGGUUGUUUUUACAGAGCCAUCUACAGGCGAGGCUAGGGAUCGUGGCAAGGGAGUCGCGUCUAGCUAGACAUUGCUAGGGGCAUGCUAGUCGAUCACCUUGCUACUCGGGCUACGGCCGAGGGUGAUGUCCCUAUGUAUAGAGAGACUACCAUUGUACCUAUUUUUGUAUACCCCGUGAUGUAUAUUUACUGUUGAACCAGAUGUUUUGGUUGUGAUACUUCUUCCUGUGGUUGAGAUUUUUGGAUUGUAUACUCUUUGUUCUUUUACUAAUAGUAUAUCGACUUGUACAUUGCUCUGAUAUCAGGAUAGGACUUUCUUUGUUUUACUUACUAUCGACUUGCUUUCUUCGUAGAUGCCUUAUAUACUGCAGGUGUAUGGCGGGUCUGUGCACGUACCGGAUAUGCUUCCGCUGGUACCCGGGCGUGACACAGGAUUUGUACCGGUGCACUUUUUCGUGUACCGGUACACAAUACAGUGCGAGCUGUUUUUGUAGAGGGGUGUAUUUGCAAUUAUUGCUAACUCUAUAUAACCUACCCCAGCCCCCUUUGAGUGCCCUUUUGAGUCCUAACCAGUGAAGAAUUAGGGUAAGGCUUCCUCCACUUGUUUGAUCUCCAGUUUUAAUGGAUUUUUUGCAUGUUUUGAUCUCCUCCUCUUUGUUUUUUCUUGCUUCUUGUUGGGUUCCACCAUGGGAGAAGCUUGGAUUUUGGGAUUGGAGCUUGAUAGAGGAUCAACCUUCAACCCUAGGUCACCUUGAGCUUUGUUUGGAGCUUCCCUUGAGGUUAGUAUCAUGAUUCUUCCGUUAGAUUCUUGAUUUGGAGGAUUUUUGAUGUUGGAACCCUAGAUUUGGAACUUAGGGUUUAUUAAGGGGAUUUUUGAUUAGAGGCUUUUGAAGCCCAAUUGAUCUCAUUAAAACUUUUGUUUAGGUUGGUUUGGAAGGACUCUAACUCCCAUUUGGAGAUCGAGAGAGUUUCCUUCGCAUUCGGUGAGUUUUCUUCACCUUUGCUUGAGUUGCUUAAUGUUUGAGCAAUUAAUUGUUCGUAACGUUCGUGUAUCUCUCUUUUCUAUACCUUUAGGGUGCUAGGAGAGUAGUGGGCAACCUCGUUCGGCGAAACGAAGAGUUGCGAGAGUCACGGUAGGUUUGACUUCAUGAAACAGGGGAGAAAUAUCCCCUGUGUGUUUUAUAUUUGUCGUAUCGUCGAGAUGCAUGCAUAUUCAUACUAGAUAGAAUUUUUAUGAAUUUUAGAAUACUUAAAAUGCAUGCAGUAUGUAUCAUGAAAAUUCAACUCUAUAUAGUAGAGCCUUAUGUGGAUUAUACAUGCAUGUGAGUAGUAUUCUUUCUUGUGGAUUGGAAACAUGUCUCAUAUGAUGAAAAUGACUCGAUUUAUGUAUUCUUUAGCACUAAACUCAUGUUUGGACUUAGUGGAUAAAAGUGCUAUAAAGGGGCACCCGACUUAGUAAACUAUGAAACUGCAACAUAGAGACAUAGUAAUAGGCCAUUUGGACAUCGACUAUAUUUCAUGUUUUAGACAUGAUGACAUAGUGAUAAGCCUUUGAGAUAUUUACUACAUUUCAUAUUUUAGACAUGAUGACUUGAGACUCAAACAGACUUUUACGCUUGCUUGCCAUUGUGCUCAUUCGCACAGCCUUGUGAGGGUCGCUCCCCACAAGCCGGCACUCCGGAGAUAGCCAUCGCGACACAUGCUCGCCCGUGCGGGAUUGGGCGCCGAAAUGGGAUGCCGUGGGAGAGGCUCAUUCUUAGAGUGGGGAUGUUGACUACCACGGGGCCAUUAGGCACGGCGCAAGCCGGACUACCCACGAGUAGGUCCUAUGAGAUUUGGAACAAGUGGAACCAAUUUGUAAAUGAACAAUUUGACAAGUUAGCAAACAUUGACAAUUUACUAGUUACCUGUGGACAUCAUAAUAGUUGCACUUAUGCAUAUUUAUAGUACAGUAGUAUUCUUACUUAUGCAAAUUCAUGCUAAGUGGAGAUAUCGUGUUGUAGCAAACUUUCAUGUUUAUUUGCUUAUUGUUUAUAUUGCUUUACUCGUACUUACCCCUUUUCAGUUUUUGGGCCUAGUGGCGUAUUUCACUGAAAUCAGUAAUUGCCCACUAGAAACUAUUAUUUAAUAGUUCUCACGCCCUCUGUUUUAUGGUUUUCUUUCAGAGCCUUCAGCACCGGUAGAGGCACGGGAUCGCGGCAAAGGGGUCGCAUAGCUAGAUAGCAAGGAUUUACAUUUUGCUUAGGUGAUUUUCUCUCUUUUUGGAUUAUUGUUGUGAGAGAGAGAGGUUUUGUAUCCAUGUAUAGAGACAACCUAUGUACUAUUCUUAGCACUUGUAUUUGGAUUUUCAGUUGUACUACUUUAUAGUUUUUUUUUAGUGGACUUUAGCCUUUCGCUUAUUUCUCUAUUGUAGAUUAUAGUUGUUCUCUGCUCUGAUACUUCUAGAUGUCUUUCUACUAUUACUUUAUUUACCGUUUUAUUGUAGACGCCUUAUACGUUUUAGACAUAUGGCGGGUCUGGGCACGUGCCGGACAGGCUUCCGCUGGGUCCCAGGGCGUGACAGAUUAAUUUGGUAUCAGAGCCUAUGGUUGAGUCUUAAUGGACCUAGCAAAUCUUAGGCCGGUUGGACUAUAGAAAAUAGGCUCGUGAGAGACGAAAUCUAUUUGAUUUGUAAGCGAAAGUAUCAUGAUUGGGUAUUCUUGAUAACUCUAAAAAGUGGAGUUAAAUUGAAGUGUAUAGCUUCUAACUUCGCGGAGGGUUACGUUGGCGGCCGACAACGUAACAUCGGGAGUUAGUAGUGAAGAACACUUUCUUACUUUCACAUGAUUUGGGUAUUAUCUUCUUGAGUGGGGAUUCGAUAACGUGGGUUUACUAACUUGCGCUUUUAUGAUGUUGUAGUGAGAUGCCGAUGACACACUCUCAAUCUGCUGGAGCGGACAAUACGGCACACCUUAAGGAGGUCGAGAUCUUCGCUACCUCCGGAUCCAGCGAGGUCCGUGAGUUGAGGAGCCAGCUUGCAGCCCUCACCGACUUGGUAGUGCAGCAGACAGCGGCGGCUCAGCAGCAGGCUGAUGCGGCAUGCCGUCAGGAGGUGCGGAUAAAGUGGCUCGAGGACCUUCUUCUACAGCAGGCAGCUUCUAGAGAGGCUUCGGUUCCUUCGCCGCCUGCACCUGUUGGGGACGUCGCACCGAGGGCGUCAUCACCCGCACCCGGAUCUUCGCGUGCGGCGCCCGUAGUUGUGCCUCGGGAAGAGGACUUUGUGGCACCACCUGUUUAGGUGCCUCUGGCGGGGAUAGUUUUUCCCGUAAUAGUCGAGGGGGUAGAGCGGGAUCGACUUAUAGAGCGUCUCAAUGAGUUCAGGAGGUGUAGCCCUCGGAUCUUCGACGGCGAGAAGGUCGACCAUUGGAUCGUGGAAAAGUGGUUGAUGCACAUAGAGAAGCUCUUCUGCGACACCUUCGUGGAGGAGAGGAACCGAGUUUGGCUCGCCAUAUACCACUUGGACGGCGAGGCCUACCGUUGGUGGUUGGACAUCCAGGAGAACCCCAACAUUGAUCUUGCGGCCAUUACUUGGAAGAAGUUCAAGGAGCUUCUAUUGGCGCACUACUUUCCGGACAUCGUCAAGAGAAAAAUGGAGCAGGACUUGCGCAACUUGCGCCAGGGAGACCGGACAGUAGCCGAGUUCGAGAGGAAGUUUUCUCGGCUUCUACAUUGCGUGCCUUUCGUCGUGCGGGACGACGAGGACAAGAUCCGCAUCUUCGAGCUAGGAUUGUGACCGUCGAUCUUUCGGUUUGUGCAAUCCUCUAACCUCCAAACCUACCGGGAGGUGGUGAAUCGCGCGCUCAUUGUGAAGAGCGGCGCGACAGAUGUUCAGAAGCGGCGAGAAGGCAUGGACAAGGGUAAGGGCAAAAGGUCCGCGGCUGAGGGUGCAAGUCAGACGCACUUUAGGAGGCCGCCGAAGCACCCUAGGAGCCAGCAGCGUGGGCGCGGCUCGACAGGGCAGCGAGAAGGAUCUGAUUGACGCCGACCUCCCCAGUGCGUGAUCUGUGGUGGUCGUCAUAUUCCACCGCAGUGUCCGCAGCGGGGAGGGAGGUGUUUUUUUGUGUGGCUAGGAGGGCCACUUUCGGACCGAGUGCCCGAGGGGUUCGUCACCGACACCGUCGACUGCAUCGGCACCGGCUCUACCAGCCGCCAGUUAGGGGACUCCAUCGGCACAGUACCAGCCUGAACGGUCACCCGUCCCGCAACAGAGCGAGGGAUCUCGACAGGCCCCGAGUGGGCGCAUGUACGCCGCUCAGACCGAGGAGGCGGCAGCAGCCGAGAAUGUGGUUGCAGGUAUCAUUUUAUUAGAUGGCAUUCGAGUUCGUGCAUUAUUUGAUACCGGUGCAUCACAUUCAUUCAUAGAUCGGCUGUUUGCCGAGUUGCAUGGCAUCUAUUUGGUUUCUUUGUUGCAUCCGGGACAGGUUGUAGUACCCGACUAUAUUUUGGAUAUUUGAGAGUUUUGCCCCAGUUGCCCUAUUCGAGUAGGGGAUUGGAUUAUGCCCGUGGAUUUGCUAGCCUUGUGCAAGCUGGGGGAGUUUGAUGUGGUCCUAGGCAUGGAUUGGUUAACCAAGUACUAUGCCACGAUCGAUUGCAAGAAUCGCACGGUUACUUUUAGAGAACCAGGGCAGACUGAGGUUAUUUUUAGAGGAUGCCAGAGUUCGCUGUUUGCGAUGACGAUCAGCUCGUCUCGAGCUAGGCAGCUGAUCAGCAGAGGUUGUAUAGCCUAUUUGGCUAGUGUUGUUCUGAGGGGCGAUGAUGACACCCCUAGGAUUGAGGAUAUCCCGAUGGUGUGGGAGUUUCAGGAUGUGUUUCCAGCUGAGCUACCAGGUAUGCCACCUGAUAGGGAGAUUGAGUUUGUAGUAGAUCUCGUCCCUAGGACUACCCCAAUCUCAAAGGCGCCCUAUAGGAUGGCACCAACAGAGCUGAAGGAGCUGAGGGUACAGCUGUAGGAUUUGUUGGAUAAAGACUUCAUUCGACCGAGCGUCUUGCCUUAGGGAGCACCAGUCUUGUUCGUCAAGAAGAAGGACGGAUCACUACGCCUAUGUGUGGAUUAUCGUGAAUUUAAUAAAGUUACGAUCAAGAAUAAGUAUCCGUUGCCGAGAAUUGACGACUUAUUUUAUCAGCUUCAAGGAUCGAGUGUGUAUUCCAAGAUCGACUUACAGUUGGGAUACCACCAGUUAAAGAUCAAAUCCGAGGAUGUAUCGAAGACGGCUUUUAGAACACGGUAUGGACAUUAUGAGUUCACAGUUAUGCCGUUCGGGCUUACUAAUGCCCGGCAGCUUUUAUGGAUCUAAUGAACCGUAUUUUUAAGCCCUAUCUAGACAGGUUCGUCGUGGUGUUCAUCGAUGACAUCUUGGUUUAUUCCCGAAGUGAUGCAGAUCAUGAGGAACAUUUGAAGCUUGUACUUCAAAUACUUCGGGAAAAGGAGCUUUAUGCCAAGUUGAAAAAGUGUGAAUUUUGGCUUCAGGAGGUGGCAUUCCUUGAACACUUGAUUUCGGGAUCGGGUAUAGCCGUGGAUCCUAAGAAGAUUGAGGCUAUCAAGGAUUGGCCGAGAUCGACGAGCGUCACGGAGAUACGGAGCUUUCUUGGAUAAGCCAGUUACUACCGGAGAUUUGUUGAGGGGUUCGCUAAGUUAUCUACUCCCCUCACGAGACUCACGCAUAAAGGCAUCAAAUUUAUUUGGAAUGAUACUUGUGAAAGGAGCUUCCAAGAGUUGAAGCAAAGAUUUACGACCUUCCCGAUCCUAACCCUGCCGGUUGCUGGAGCAGAGUAUGUGGUUUUUAGCGAUGCUUCAUUUAAUGGAUUGGGUUGCGUUUUGAUGCAGGAUGGCAAGGUGAUCGCGUAUGCUUCUCGCCAAUUGAAGGAAUAUGAAAGGAAUUAUCCUACACAUGAUUUGGAGUUGGCGGCCGUAGUCUUUGCAUUAAAGCUAUGGCGCUACUAUCUUUAUGGCGAGCAGUGUGAAGUAUACACGGAUCACAAGAGCUUGAAGUAUUUAUUCACUCAGAAGGAGCUGAACUUGAGGCAGCGCAGAUGGUUAGAGCUGCUCAAGGAUUAUGAUCUGACGAUUCUUUACUACCCAAGCAAGGCUAAUCUAGUGGCGGAUGCGCUAAGUUGGAAAUCGACGGAAAACUUAGCGAUGCAUGUUGUUGCUCAACCGCAGUUGAUCGAGCAGAUGAAGCGGUUGGAGUUGGAGGUGGUUACUCCUGACACGCCCUUGAGGUUGAUGACCUUGGUAGUGCAACCUACAUUGUUGAAUAGAAUUAAAGAAAAGUAAGUUUUCGAUGUGGAAUUGCGAAAGAUUGGAGAUAGAAUGGUCAAAUGGUUGCAUCGGCGAUUUCUUUGUGGAUGAUCAAGGGUUGAUGCAUUUUUGCGGAAGGUUAUGUGUACCAGCGGAUUCAGGAAUUAAAAAAGAUAUUCUUUAAGAGGCACACCGGGCACCCUAUGCUAUACAUCCGGGAAGUACCAAGAUGUACAAGGACUUAAAGUUGCUCUACUGGUGGCUCGGGAUGAAAAAGGAUGUUGGCGAGUUUGUAGCUCGUUGUCUAACUUGCUAACAAGUAAAGAGGGGAGCACCGAUUGCCCGCGGAAAAACUUUAGAGUUUGCCAAUUCCCGUGUGGAAAUGGAAGAAGAUCACCAUGGAUUUUGUGAUGGGAUUGCCUCGCUCUCACGCCGGGGAGGAUGCUAUUUGGGUGAUCGUGGAUAGGUUGGCGAAAUCGGUGCACUUCAUACCUAUUUAUACGACUUGGACUGGAGAGAAGCUCGCACAAGUGUACCUUGAUGAAAUUGUGCGACUUCACGGAGUGCCUACCUCGAUUGUAUCUGAUUGAGACAUCCGGUUCGUGUCUCACUUUUGGAGGAGUCUGCAGGACGCCUUAGGCACUCGAUUGGAUUUCAGCACUGCUUUCCACCCUAAGAGUGAUGGGCAGUCGGAGCGCACUAUUCAGACUUUAGAGAAUAUGCUCCGAGCAUGUGUGAUAGACUUCGAGGGAGGAUGGUCGCAGCAUCUACCGAUGGUAGAGUUUGCUUAUAACAAUAGUUAUCAAGCAAGCAUCAAGAUGGCACUCUUCGAAGCACUUUAUGGAUGGAAGUGUAGAUCGCCACUUCAUUGGAGUGAAGUUGGCGAGAGAUUGGCUUUAGGCCCUGAUGUGCUCCACGAAGCUGAGGACAAGGUUCGUAUUGCUCAGAGGAGCGACUUUUGACGGCACAAAGUAGACAGAGGAGCUACGCCGAUCGACGACGGCGAGACUUGGAGUUCCAAGUUGGAGAAAAUAUUUUCUUGAAGGUCUCACCGACUAGAGGGAUCAGGAGAUUCGGGAUUCGGGGUAAGUUGAGCCCCCGAUUUAUUGGACCGUAUGAGAUUUUGGAGCGUGUAGGUCCGGUAACGUAUCGACUUACUCUACCACCGAACCUAUCGGGUGUAUACAACGUCUUUUAUGUAUCGGUCCUUCGGAAGUACAGUCGACCCGGCUCAUGUUUUGGAUGCUACACCUAUAGAGUUGAGGGAUGAUUUGAGUUUUGAGGAGCAACCCGUGAGGAUCUUGACUCGCGAGGUGCGGAAGCUGCGAAAUCGGGAUAUUCCGUAUGUAAAGGUUCUUUGGAGCAACCACGAGGAGUGAGAGGCCACGCGGGACAUGGAGAGCGCCUUGCAGGGGCGCUAUCCCCAUCUCUUUCAGAUAGAGUCUUGAGGUACGUUGCUUUUGAGUUUCGCGGACGAAACUCCUUUUUAGGAGGGGUGAAUGUAACACACUGGACCUUUGCAAAUUGCAAGAUUCGACUGUUUGAUCUGUGUUCCGAGCUUUUCCAGAUAUUCUGGAUGGUCGUAGAUAAUGCUCCGACCCAUGGCUCGCAUCCCGAGAAUUGAGGUUUAAAACUUAGCAUCAAAAUCCAAAAGAUUGGAUUUUUAGGUCUGCUCUCGGGUUGCCUCAGUAGGGCUGUGUACCGGUACAGCCUUGAUGGUUGUACCGGUACAGAAAGUGUACCGGUACACCUUGAUAGUUGUACCGGUACAAAUGUGGUGAAUGACCAACCCGAGGCUCGGAUUUGCUGUCUCGCAGGAUUUGUACCGGUACACUUUUCCGUGUACCGGUACACAACGCAGUGCGAGCUAUUUUUGUGGAGGGGUGUAUUUGCAAUUAUUGCUAACUCUAUAUAACCCACCCCAGCCCUCUUUGAGUGCUCUUUCGAGCCCUAACUAGUGAUGAUUUAGGGUAAGUCUUCCUCCACUUGUUUGAUCUCCAUUUUUGAUAGAUUUUUUGCAUGUUUUGAUCUCCUCCUCUUGUUUUUCCUAGCUUCUUGUUGGGUUCCACCAUGGGAGACGCUUGAAUUUCGGGAUUGGAGCUUGAUAGAGGAUCAACCUUCAACCCUAGGUCACCUUGAGCUUCGUUUGGAGCUUCCCUUGAGGUUAGUAUCAUGAUUCUUCCAUUAGAUUUUUGAUUUGGAGGAUUUUUGAUGUUGGAACCCUAGAUUUGGAACUUAGGGUUUAUUAUGAGGAUUUUUGAUUAGAGACUUUUAAAGCCCAAUUGAUCUCAUUAGAAUCUUUGUUUAGGUUGGUUUGGAUGGACUCUAGCUCCCAUUUGGAGAUCGUGAGAGUUUCCUUCAUAUUCAGUGAGUUUUCUUCACCUUUGCUUGAGUUGCUUAACGUUUGAGCAAUUAAUUGUUCGUAACAUUCGUGUAUCUCUCUUUUCUAUGUCUUUAGGGUACUAGGAGAGUAGUGGGCAACCUCGUUCGGCGAAACGAAGGGUUGCGAGAGUCACGGUGGGUUUGACUUCAUGAAACAGGGGAGAAAUAUCCCCUAUGUGUUUGAUACUUGUCGUAUCGUCGAGAUGCAUGCAUAUUCAUGCUAGGUAGAAUUUUUAUGAAUUUUAGAAUACUUAAAAUGCAUGCGUUAUGUAUCAUGAAAAUUCAACUGUAUAUAGUAGAGCCUUAUGUAGAUUAUAUAUGCAUGUGAGUAGUAUUCUUUCUUGUGGAUUGGAAACAUGUCUCGUAUGAUGAAAAUGACUCGAUUUAUGUAUUCUUGAGCACUAAACUCAUGUUUGGACUUAGUGGACAAAAGUGCCAUAAAGGGGCACCCGACUUAGUAAACUCUGAAACUGCAAUAUAGAGACGUAGUAAUAGGCCAUUUGGGCAUCGACUAUAUUUCAUGUUUUAGACAUGAUGACAUAGUGAUAGGCCUUUGAGAUAUUUGCCACAUUCCAUGUUUUAGACAUGAUGACUUGAGACUCGAGACGGACUUUUACGCUUGCUUGCCAUUGUGUUCAUUCGCACAUGCUUGUGAGGGUCGCUCCCCACAAGCCGGCACUCUGAAGAUAGCCAUCGCGACACAUGCUCGCCCGUGCGGGAUUGGGUUCCGAAAUAGGAUGCCGUGGCGGAGGCUCAUUCCUAGAGUGGGGAUGUUGACUACCACGGGGCCAUUAGGCACGGCGCAAGCCGGACUACCCACGAGUAGAUCCUAUGAGAUUUGGAACAAGUGGAACCAAUUUGUAAAUGAACAAUUUGACAAGUUAGCAAACAUUGACAAUUUACUAGUUACCUGUGGACAUCAUAGUAGUUGCACUUAUGCAUUUUAUGGUACAGUAGCAUUCUUACUUAUGCAAAUUCAUGCUAAGUAGAGAUAUCAUGUUGUAGUAAACUUUCAUGUUUAUUUGCUUAUUGUUCAUAUUGCUUUACUCGUACUUACCCAUUUUCAGCUUUUGGGCCUAGUGCCGCAUUUCACUGAAGUUAAUAAUUGCCCACUGGGAACUAUUAUUUAAUAGUUCUUACGCCCUCUGUUUUAUGGUUUUCUUUCAGAGCCUUCAGCACCGGUGGAGGCACGGGAUCGCGGCAAAGGGGUCGCAUAGCUAGAUAGCAAGGAUUUACAUUUUGUUUAGGUGGUUUUCUCGUAUCCAUGUAUAGAGACCACCUAUGUACUAUUCUUAGCACUUGUAUUUGGAUUUUCAGUUGUACUACUUUAUAGUUUUUUUUUAGUGGACUUUAGCCUUUCGCUUUUUUCUCUAUUGUAGAUUCUAGUUGUUCUCUGCUUUGAUACAUCUAGAUGUCUUUCUACUAUUGCUUUAUUUACCGUUUUAUUGUAGACGCCUUAUACGUUUUAGACGUAUGGCGGGUCUGGGCACGUGCCGGACAGGCUUCCGCUGGGUCCCGAGGCGUGACACGCCUUCUAUGUUCUUAACAUAUGGCGGGUCUGGACACGCACUGGGCAGGCUUUCGCUAGGGCCGGGCCGUGAUAGAGAGAGAGAGAGAAGUGAUCUUGAGGAUGUAUUAAGUUGAACAAAAGAGACCAUGAAGAAAGGCGGGCAGAAUUAGUAACUUCACAAUUGUCAUUUCUUGAAUGAAUCAUUUUUUUUUUUCAUAUCAUUGUUCUUUGGUAUAUACUUAUUUGUUUCUCAAUAUAUGUUUUUUUAGUUAUGUCUUCUCCGACUUUGCCACAUCCUCAUUCAUCUCAACAAUCAACAUCUAUUGUUGGCACUAAUGAACUGUGUGACACUCAAGGGAAAAAUGAAAUAGCUGAUAAUAAUGAUAUGGAUGAGAUUGAAAAUAAACUAGAAAGAAAGAAAUUUGUAAAAAAUUUUCUAAGGUUUGGGAAUCUUUUAAAGAAAGAGAAGUUCUUGAGAAUAAAGUCUUGUUAAAAAAACUCAAAUGCAAAUUUUGUAUAAAGAAGUAUUCAAAAUCAAAGAUGGGCACCACCUCACAACUAACAAGGCAUAUGAAUGAGCGUUUUUACUUGAAAAAUCAGCCUAAAGUUCAAUGUUUAAUCAAUUUUGCACCAAGUGAAGCUCUAAAGAAUUUAGAAUUUUCGCCUUCUACAUUGGCCAUAUUGCAUCUUACGACACUACUUUUAAAAUCAAUGAAUAAUGGUUGAGAUAAUUCUAGUUCAUAAAUAUCCAUUUACGAUGGUUGAGCACACAUGGUUCAAUAUAUUGUGCAAGGUAUUGAAUCCUAAUUUUCGAAAGGUGAUUAGAAACACUAUAAAAAAUGAAUACUUAAAAGUCUAUGAAACUGAAAAAGAGAAAUUGAAAAAAGUACUAAAGAAUGUUAAUAAAAUAUCACUUAUAUGUGUUUGUUGGAUGCCCAAGCAAAACAAUUCGGUAUAUGGCUUUGACUGCUCACUAUAUAGAUUUAGAAUGGCAAUUGUAAAAGCAUGUCAUUAAUUUUAUUGAGCUAGAGCCACCACACACUGGUUUGGUUAUCUCUGAUGCUAUUUAUGAUUGCUUGUUAGAUUGAGGGGAUUCAAAAUAAAGUAUCUACAAUCACCUUAGAUAAUGCUUCAAGCAAUGAUGUAGUAGCUAGAAGUUUAAUAUUGAAUUCCAAAGGAGAAACACAAAGAAGAAACAAGCUUCCACUUCAAGGGUAUAUUCUUUUAUAUUAGAUGUUGUGCACAUGUCUUAAACUAGAUGGUUCUAGGGAUGUCAACGGGUUGGAUUCGGGGCGGAUUUUUGAAUACCCGUACCCGAACCACACUACCAAAUUCGAAACUCGAACCCGAAUCCGGAACAAACCCGAACCCGACCAAAAACCUGAAACCCGAUUCUAAACACAGAAACUCGAACCCGAAAAUAAUAUUUAUCAAAUUUCGAAACAUAUUAUAUAAAAAACUAAAGUUUCAAAAUACAUAUUCAAAUACAAUAUUAAACAUUCAUGCCAUUCAAAAUACACAUUUAAAUACAAUAUUAAACAUUCAUGCCAUAUAAUAACGAUAUCCAAAUAUGAAUAAUACAAACUCAAAUAGUUAAAAACAAUAAUACAAUUUUCAAAUGUCUAAUAUAAAUGCACAAUUUUUAAAUAGACCCAUACUAUGAUAAUAUUAUAUAUUAUAUAUAUAUAUAUAUAUAUAUAUAUAUAUAUAUUAUAUAUAUAUAUAUAUAUAUAUAUAUAUAUAACAGGGUUGCUGUGCUCUCAGAGCACGGAGGCCUCCAUGCUCCUGAGCCGUUUUUGAUGAUGAAAUUUUCGAAUCGACGAUCGGCUCUGUUCGACUUGAUCUUAGCGCAUUUGAAGUUUGUAGAAAAUAAUUUUUACGAUUUUUUGAUAUAUUUACCCUAGUGAUCGAAAGGAUUCAAAAUACUAUAAUUUUUAUGGUUGACAAUUUGCCGUUUUCAAGUUUAACGGCGUUGUAGAAGUAUUCAAAUCAGAUGAAUUUUGAUACAAAAUUCUUAUACUAUCUACAACAAGAUCAAAUAUUUCUGAUCAAAAAUUUUAGUGCUAUAUCACCACUUUUUAUAGAAUUUUUAUUUUCAGCCGCUUAAAAUUAUUGAUUUGAAUCCUUUCGAUUGCUAGGUAAAUGAUAUCAAAAAUCGCAAAAAUUAUUUUCUAAAAACUUCAAAUACGCUAGAUCAAGUUUAACGGAGCCGAUCAUCGAUUCGGAAACUCCAUCAUCGAAAACGGCUUAGGAGCACGGAGGCCUUCAUGCUCCUGAGAGCACAGCAGCCCUGCCUCUCUCUUCUCUCUCUCUCUCUCUCUUCUCUCUCUCUCUCUCUCUCUAUAUAUAUAUACUAUAUAUAAUAUAUAUAUAUAGGGUCCGGCUACUAUAUCUAUCGAUAGCACAGAGGGCUCGUGCUACCAAGUUGUUUUCGAUGAUGCGGCUUCCAAAUCGACGAUCGGCUCCGUUAAACUUGAUCUACACUAUUGAAAGUAUUUGGAAACUAAAUUUCAGAUUUUUUCGAUAUCAUUUGACUAGUGAUCAAAAGAUCUCAAAGUUGAUAAUUUUAUGGGCCGAUGUGGUGUGUUUGAGAGUUUAACGGUGUAAAACAAUCCAAAUCCGAUGAAAAUUUUAUAGAAAAUUCUUUUUACUAUUUAGAGUGAGAUCAGUAUAUCUGAUCUUAAAUUUAAAUCUUUUAUCAUCAUUUUUAUGAGAUUUUUAUUUUCAGCCGUUCAAUUUUAAACUACUUGUUUGAUAGGUAAAUGAUAUCGAAAAAUUAUGAAAUUUAGUUUCUAAAUACUUUUAAUAGUGUAGAUCAAGUCUAACGGAGCCGAUCGUCGAUUUGGAAGCCGCAUCAUCGAAAACAACUUGGUAGCACGGAGUGCUGCGUACUACCGAUAGUAUAGCAGCCUAGCUAUUGGUGCUAUUAGGUUUUCGGCCCUUCGAUGAAGGCAUGUGUGAUUAGGAUGAUAGUAGUCUCCUAAGGUUAAGUAGGUGGGUGGUUGAAUAUAUGAUAUAACAGGUGAAAAUGAUUAAAGGAAUAGAUCUAACGACGGAAAACUUAAUAGCGAGAAGUGCUUGGUGCUAUUAAUAACAUAGUAGCCAGAUUCUCUCUCUCUCUCCCUAUAUAUAUAUAUAUAUAUAUAGGCUGGGGCUACUAUACUUAUAUGAAUAUACAGCCCUUUGUACUCAUAAAUUUUCAGCCGUUCAGAUGAAAAAAUAUGCGGUUAUGAUGAAAGUGGUUACGGUUAGGUUGAUAGUGGGCCCCCUGAGGUUGAGUGGGUGGUUGGUUGAAUAGUAUAAUCUAACGGGUGAAAAUGAUUAAAGGGUAGAUCCAACGGGCAAAAACUUAUGAGUACAAGAGGCUCUAUACUCAUAAAAGUAUAGUAGUCGGACUAUAUAUAUAUAUAGUAGAGCUAUUAUGCUAUUGGAAGCAUGGAGGAUCUGGUGCUUUCGAUUUUUUGGCUCUUAUAUCAACCUCUUUGAUCAUUUCUAUCAUUUGAAUUAAAAUUAUUGUUGUGAGGACUACUCAAUCCUAGGGAGGGCUGUAAUCAUUCUAACCGUACAAUUCUUGAUCUAAUGAUCAAAAAAUCGGAAACAUAAAAUCUUUUAUACUUCCAAUAUAUAUAUAUAGAGAGAGAGUUGAGUUAGAAUACUCUCAGAAGCACAAAGGGGGUAGUACUUUUGAGUUUUUAGCCUUUGGAUUGAGAGAUGUAGGGUUGGGAUGAUGAUGGUAGGUGGUAGGUAGUGGUAGGUGGAAUAGUGUUUGAUUCAAGGGCUAUUAGUAAUCAAGGAGUAGAUCCAAGAGGUAGAAACUUAGAAGCACCAAGAGAUUGAUGCUUCUAAAAGUGCUCUAGCUCAAUUCUAUAUAUGUGUGUGUGUGUGUGUGUGUGUGUGUGUGUGUGUGUGAGGCUACUAUGCUUUUGGAAGCACAGAUCCUUCAGUACUUCCAGGUCAUUUUCGAUGUGUGUGUGUGUGUGUGUGUGUGUGUGUGUGUGAGAGGCUACUAUGCUUUUCGAAGCACAGAGCCUUCCNUGGGUGGUUGGUUGAAUAGUAUAAUCUAAUGGUUAAAAAUGAUCCGAGAAGUAGAUCUAAUGGUAAAAAACUUACAAGCACCAAGUGCUUGGUGCGUUUACAAGCACCAUAGCUGGACUCUACACACACACACACACACACACACACACUCUCAAAGAGGGAGGGAAGAGUGGCCAAUUCAAACUCAAGUGGAGAAGAGGAAAAUAAGCCAAUUCAAACUCAAGUGGCCAAUUGUAUAUAUAUAUAUAUAUAGAAAGUGGAGCUGAAAUACUAUUGAUAGUAUGAGAAUAGAAUUUUCUAUGAACUUUUUGACCACUAGAUACAUAGGGUUUCGUGGGGGUUGGUGGAAUACUGUUUAUAUACUAUUAAUAGUAUACUAGCUCAACCCUCUUUCUCUAUAUGUAUAGUAGGACUACUGUACUAUUAUGAGUAUAGGAUCUUUCGUACUCAUAAGUCAUUUUCGAUGAUAGAUCUUCCGAAUUGAUGAUUCAUACCGUUAAACAUGAUCUAGAGCAUUUGAAAUUUCUAGAAACCAAAUUUCAUAAUUUUUUAAAAUUAUAAUAAAGUCCAUCAAACAUAAAAAUGAAUAGGUCAAAAUCAAACGACUUCCUAAAAUUAGAGGAUUGAAGUUUUCAAUUUAAGAUCGGAGUUAUUGAUCUUUAUCUAGAUAAUGAAUAGAACAUUUUAUCAAAAGUUUAACCAAUUUCGAUUCUUUUAACUGUUAACUAGCAACUAUCUCAUAUCGGCCGUUAAAAGUUAUCAACAUUGAGAUAUUUUGAUCAUAUGCAAAUGAUAUCGAAAAAUUAUAAAAUUUGGUUUCUAGAAGUUUAAAUGCUCUAGAUAAUGUUUAACGGUAUUUAUUGUUCAUUCGAAAGUUCUAUCAUCGAAAACGACUUAUAUUCGAAAGUUCUAUCAUUUUUUAGACCUUUUGAUCGCUUAGUAAAUGAUGUCAAAAAAUUAUAAAUUUGGUUUCUAGGUAGUUCCAAUAGGGUAGAUUAUACUUAAUGGAGCCGAUCGUCGAAUCGGAUGUUCUACCAUCGAAAACAACUUACAAGUACGGAGGUCUCCGUACUUUCAAAAGUACAGGAGACGUACUCUAUAUAUAUAUAUAUAUAAAUAUAUAUAUAUAGAAUUAUGCUACUAUACUAUCAAUAGUACCAAGCCCUUGGUACUAUUGAGUUUUCGGCCGUUGGAUAAAAGGAUGUGUGGUUAGGAUGAUAGUGGUCCCCGGUUAAAUUAAUAGUGGUCCCCUAGGGUUGAGUGAGUGGUUUGUUUAAUAUUAUAAUCUAACGGGUGGAAAUGAUCAAAAGGUAGAUCUAACGGUAGAAAACUCAAUAGUACCAAGGGCUUGAUACUAUCAAUAGUAUAGUAGCCGGACUCUAUAUAUAUAUAUAUAUAUAUAGAGUGAGGCUACUAUGCUUCUGGAAGCUACUAUGCUUCUGGAAGUACGGACUACGGAGCCUUCCGUGCUUUCAGGUCAUUUUUCAUGUUGCGACUUUCGAAUCGUCGAUCGGCUCCGUUAAACUUGAUCUAGAGUAUUUGAAGUAUCUAGAAAAUAAAUUUUGUAAUUUUUCGAUAUCAUUUGCCGAGUGAACUAAGGGGCUCAAAAUCAACGGCUGAAAAUAAAAAUCUUACAAAACGUGAUAAUAUGACAUUAAAAUUUUAGAUCAAAGAUAUUGAUCUUGUUUUAUAUAGUAUAAAGAAUUUUCUAUCAAAAUUUCAUGUGAUUUGGAUAUUUCUACACCAUUAAACUUGCAAACGGCUCACCACGGCCUUUAAAAUUAUUGAUUUUGAGCCCCUUCGAUCACUAGACAAAUGGUAUCGAAAAAUCAUAAAAUUUAUUUUUCAAGUACUUCAAAUACUCUAGAUCAAGUUUAACGGAGCCGAUCGACGAUUUGAAAGUCGCAAUAUCGGAAACGACCUGGAAGCAUGGAAGGCUCCGUGCUUCCAGACCCGUGCUCCGUGCUUCCAGAAGCAUAGUAGCUUCACUCUCUCUCUCUCUCUCUCUCUCUCUCUCUCUAUAUAUAUAUAUAUAUAGGAAAGAAGUUCUUUUCUGGACGAUUAAACUCUCAACAAAUUUGUCCUCUUUUUUGAAGCCAACGCCCCACUUUUUAUAGCCAUCUAAUUUAGCUUUUUUUUUUUUUUUAACUGCUGAAAUUUUCCAUUAAAAUCCCAAUGAACUUUCUGGUUUGAAUCUGAACCUCAAACUUCAGUUUGUUGCUAAUAUCUCUCACUAGUUUGUUGCUCAAUCCUCUCCCAUUUGAAUUUCAAAAUUCAAGUUUCGGUUCAGGUUUAGAAAGAGUUCAGUUUAAGUGUGUUUUUGGUUUGGUUAAGCUCAACUUAUUCAAUUGAAACAUAGGACCGAAAUUUAUCAAAAGAUUUACGUAUUGAAAACUAAUUUGAUGCCCGCAUCACCUUACUGGUGAAAUACACUAUCCCACCAACUCAGAGAAGCCGGGACCUUCUAAGAAAUAAAAAUUUUCAAAGCUUUCAUUUACAGUAAAAAAUUCUCAUACUAAAGAAGUUAAUACCAGAUAACUCAUUCCAACCUCCAAACAAAACCAAAACGAUUACCAGCGAGAGAGCGAUGCAACAACUUGCAAAAUAUGCAUCUGUUUGCAAACCUAUAUUUUGCCAGAGGAAUAUGAAACAACUGAGCUAUCCCCUGUUCCUGAAUGAUCAGAUGUAGGUGUACUUUCCAUACAUUUAUCCACCAACCGCCCUUGUGUUGAUCUUUGUGAAGCCGUGGGCAGCUGGCUGGUGUGAUAAAAAUAUAUGCUCAAUAUUUUGCUUGCAGAUUUGAUGAGAACAGAACUAACAGUCUAUUCUCAAAAUCUUAUCAAAAGGAGGAAAGAAAGAUUGAGACAUGAUGCAGGAUAGUACAAAAGGUUAGAAUACAUUUAAAUGAAAUAGCGCGUCUGUAAAAGAUAAAGAUCAAAUCGCUAACUGCAAUAAUCUCACUUAAGCAUCACCUCGACCUCCGAUAAUCUCACUAACAACCUUAUUUUUUGACCAUCGGUUAACGAGAGUUAAGAGCAAACUAAUGGAGUCGAUAUCACAUCACUACUAGCGAUUUCUCACAUAAGUCGCAUGCAUGUGAAUCUCAACAUACGAAGCUUAAGUAAGAAGUUUAGAUUUCUACAAUAUUUUGGUACAUCUCAAGCAGGCAAAUUGGAUUCAACUCACAGCAAGCACUCUAGAAACACUUUCAGUAUAAUAGUAGCAACCUCAGAAAUCAUCUGGCAAAUGAGAUUUCAGUAGCGAUAUUUGGUCGAAUAAUCCUUGGGCGCUAUAACCAGACCGCGGCCUUUCCUCGCGCCCCUAUAGACAGUCUCCACGAUGUCGAUGAACUCCUGCUUGUCCUUGAGGGCCCAAUUGAUCUUGUUGUUGUUCCCCGUGCCAAGGUCGAUCAUGAUGUGCUUGUUCCGGAAGAAGAACAUCACUGUCGAGGGAUCAUACAACUCGUACAUGGUAUUGAAGUCAGGGACCUCUGUGAUGUCCACCAGGUAUAUUACUGCAAAGUUCUUGAUGGUCUCUGCAACUGAUGCUAGCACUUCAUCCAUCUGCUUCAACAUGCAAAAUUAAAUCUAAAAAUCCAGGCCAGAACAUAGAAAGGGGGCGAGGAAGCAAUAAAGCAGCAAUACAUAAUUAACAUAGUUUUCAGCAACAAUUUCUGGUUCAAGUGGUUGAAUCCCAUAAAUCAUGGAGGCAAGUUUCCAAUUGACAGAACUUCUGCUAUAAAGGAGACAUAUUAGACCAAGAAAGAAGCAAGCUGGCAGGGAGGAGAGAAAGAGUUAUAGGACGAAAGUUCAGUUCUGUUAGCCUUCUUCGUGACACAUUUUACUAGUACAGAUAACAUUUUACUAGUACAGAUAAUAAUCGAUGCACGUUUCUUACACUUUAUCUAGAGAAAUAGGUUUGAAAAGGGCAAACUGCAUUGUUCCCCCAAGAACUUCUUAGAAAGUUUCACUUUGCCCUCUGCCCUUUAAAAAAUGACAAUCCUAUAACUUGUGGAAAUGUUACAAUUCACCUCUUUACACUUCUUUCCAUCAUCUCCAUUAUUAUAGUUGAAGUUGCUGUUGACAUGGGUACGAUGUUAGCACGCUGGUUUUGCCAUGGUGGCUCAAGAAAGCAGUUUUUUUCUUUUUCCCCCUUUUUGUCAGCGAUCCAUUCAAAAGACUGACUUAUGAGAGAAGGAUUUCUUUGGGCAGAAAACCCCUGUUCUCUCUCAAACAAUGAUCAACAUCCAAAUAAGGGCUAGAGUUAGGGGCCGACGAGUGAUUCUACAAAUUCCGUGUGGAAGAAGGGUGAAGAAUGAAAAUCUAGCUUUGAUUUCCAGAAAAAUCAAAUCAAGCACCUUGCUUGAUCCCCAUCCUCUAGUUGCUAGGAAAGAAACCUCUAGUUAAUUGGUUUCCUCUAGUUGAUCUGUUUCGCUCGAGAAAUGGAAAUCUUGAGGGGUAAAGAAGAUUAUGGACUGAAAUAUGGUAAGCUUUCCUAUAUGCUUUAACUGUUCUAUGAUUUAUGGUUUAAUAUUGGGAUUUGUGGCCUUUUUUAUUGAAUUCAUUGAUGCAGGAGGAUAUGGGGUCGAACAUUUUAGGGGGCAUUUAAAAAAUAUAAGGUUUUAAUAUGGUAAAGAAGAUAAUGAAUAUUUUCAUGGCCUUUGAAUGAAUAAAAGAGAAACUGGGAUGAAGAAAUAUCAAAGUUUGAAAAUACAUCAGAGUUCCUAUUCGAAUUUUUGGGAUUUUUUUAAAAAUUAAUUUGAAAUUUUUGUGAUUAUCUAGGAAUAACAGAAAGAAAAAUAAAAAUAACACCAAAACUCAGAAAAAUUAAAAAAUUUAAAAAAAGGAAAAGAUAGGGGAAGAUAAUUAGAACUCACUCCUUAAUUGGACUCUAUCCGUGGAUUCACUCCAAGGGCGACAAAAUGGGAAUAUUAGUGCUCCAGAAGUUCUAUAUAAAUAUUAUUAAUUUAAAAUUUUGACCGAACCAGUAGAUCCGACUGAUCAUCAGACCCCUCAUUAGAAGUUUUACACUGAGAUUCAUCAUGGGGACUUCUUUGCAGAUAUACUAGACAAAGUUUAUGUGGAUGGUAAUAUUGCUCAUUUUGGUUAUUGCCAUGCCAACGUACUAUCUUUGGUAGAAACCGUAUACACGCUCGAAAAGCUGGGCUACAUUGGAGAAUUCAAAUUCUUUCGAUGUACCAAAGGGAGUGAUUUUGACAAUGGUGUUCACCAGCUAAUUAAUGACAGCGAUGUUUUAGAAAUGGUUGCAAUUGCUUCUGAGCAAGCUUCUUUGGGAAUCUACGUGGAGCAUAUGAAAAGCGUUGAUGCUAUGUAGAUAUAUAACGGAUCAACUAUUUGGAGAAAGCCAAGAAAAACAUCCAAUGAUUAGAAGUGAGGGUUUAAACAACAAUAAUGUUGGAGGAACAAAAGAAGUGGUGAACCAAAUAGGUGUAGGCAACAAAGAAUCACAACUAUUUGGCAUGAAAGGUGUUCGAAUGAUGAAGGAGAGAGAAUAAGGGUUAUGGGGUGAUGACAAUGACGUGGCAAAUCUUGAAUGGAUGAGUGGGUAGCACUAGAGAUAGUGAUUUUGUAGCUCAUGGUCUUGUGGAUAGCGAAUGUGGCUUUACCGAUCACUCUUCAAUGCGCAAGUUGAUGCUGGUGUCAACAUGUCAAGUCAGGAAUGCGAAAUCAGUGGGGUUUUACAUGCUAAGACAAUGGACCAUCAAAUGAGUCUGACUAUGCACCUUGCAAUGAGCUGGAUAUAAUGGAAUCACCCUCUGCAGGUUAAUGGGGUUCAAAUGUCCUGAAUUUAGGGCUGAAAUAAAUUUGGUAUGAUAUUUUGAGCUGAAUACCAUACCAAGCUGAAUAUAGUGGCAUAAUACCAAGCUCAAAAUGUGGGUUUUGCAAACUCAGGAGCUUGGUAUGAUAUUUAGCCCUACAAAUGAGCUUACAAGUGCAGUUAGGGAGUAUAGCAUCAAUAAUAAGUUUAGUAUCAGAGUCAUUACUAAUGACAACAACAGGGUGAGAGCUGCUUGUAAGGAGAAACAUCCUUGCCUCAUUUUUUUGCAUCAUAGGUUCAAGAUGAUAAGACAAUGCAGGAGGUAUAAUCCUACGGGUACCUAUUGUAAAGAGUUUAGAAAUAGAUAUGUGACAUCCGAUUGGCUCAUAAGAAAAUGUGCAUAGAUUUAGAACUGAUCCUAAGCAGUUAUUAGAGCGCUUGCAAACCUAGAUCUCAAUGUUAAUGUGUCUAGAACAAGUACAGGGCAAGAAGAAAGGCCCUGCACUUAUCGACUGUAUUGAAAAAGUGCAAGUGUCUAUUGGAGUUGAUGUAGCUUAUUCAAUCAAAAUGAAUGGAAAUUAUAAAAGUUAGGGACCUAAUAGAAAAAAAGAAAAGUUAGGGACCAAAGUGAGAAAACUGAUGAAGGUAAGGGACCAGUGGUGCAAUUAACCCUUUAUCUUAUGGUUCUACUUCUUUAAAGCAUGCCCUGAAACUUAAUUCCAUGAAUUUUCUCUCCUGAUUUAUGGUCUUUUUGGAAGCUUGCAGGGGUUAAUCCCAUCUUUACAAGAGCUUGUACCAGAUUCCGAACAUAGGUUCUGUGUUCAGCAUCUUUAAUCUAAUUUUGAGACCACUCACAAGGGCAGUUACUAAAGGAUAUAUUAUAGGCUGCUACUAGGGCUACUAACACUUAGAAAUUUGAUAACUGGAUGAGGAUCAACAGAGCCAGACCUGAUGGCUUAUAAGUGGUUACCCGAGAAGCCACCACAGCAAUGGUUGAAAUCGCACUUUGUAGAAUUCCCCACAUGCGGUAUGCUAAUGAAUAGCAUGUGUGAGUGUUUCAACAGAUAAAUUCUUGAAGCUAGGAGAAACCAAUUCUCUCUAAGCCAAAUGCUGUCAACCUUAACUUGAUAAAUAGGUACAUCUGAAGAUAGAAGCAACUAUGAGAUUUAAGGGGAGGAUUUGUCCUAGGAUUCAAAUAAAAUUGUGGUUCAUUUAAUCUAAGGUCGCACAUGCAGAAGGUGGGGAUUAUCUUGAAUUCCAUGCGCUCAUGUAGUUUUAGCAAUGCUCCAUGAGAACUUGCAGCCUGAAACUAUGUAUGAGUGGAAUACAGUAGAAGCUCACAAAAAGAAUUGCGAGCACCUAAAUCCUAUUAAUGGUCAAAACAUGGACUAGGACUGGCCUAGAGCCUAUAUAACCACCAGUUUUUUCAUGGAAAAUCUGAAAGGCCAUAGAAAGCUUGAAAGAAGUUAGUUGCAAAGCAAGUUAACGCAGAAAGAUUAAGUAGGCAGCAGAUUAGGAUAACAUCUACUAAAUCUGUACAGAAAGGGCACAAGAAAGUCUUCUGUAACACUAGAGACCACACAACCAGACCAGCACUAAAAACAGAUUUACAUUGAUUUACUAAAAACAGAUUUACAUUGAUUUAGAGCAUAUCGACAUAUAGUAUUGGAACACACAAAGUAGAAAAUGAAAAGGGAAGUUGAAUAUGAAAAGAAAGUGUGGUUGAUGAAAGGAGUUGCUCUAGCAAAGCGCAAAAAGAACAAAGAGAGUGGAUCAUUUGAAUCACCCUUGUAAUUGUGCCUCAAGUUCUGCUACAGGGUACCAAAGAAACUACAGUUAGAAUCAUCAGCUCAAAUCACAACAAAUCCAGCACAACCAACAAACUUUAUUAGGAAUCGCAAUUACAAAACUCAAUCACACCACCUCCCAUUGGAACUCAGACUUCCAUUGCUCAUGCAAUGGCAAGAGGUAAGGUGAAGAGGGCUCCUAGCGAUGUAGGUCAGGGCAAAGGGUAAGGAAACGGGGCGAAACAAUCCAGGCACAGCAUCAUUAACAUUUGUUAUAUUCAUGGUCUUUCUCUCUUAGAAGAUUUGAAAGUAUUGGUCCCUGCACUUUGCACUUUGUUUGAUAAAACGUUCAUACAUACAACUACAUACGAAUAUAGCACUAUAACUACGAAUUCAAGGAAUUAAAAAAAAUUUAAAGAUACCAUUUAUAGUCAGCGACCCAAAUAGCAGCAGCUAUAGCAAUUUUAAUGGGUAAACACUACACUAUGCUGUUGAAAACAUACUAUAGCGUACUAGGAUCAUAGCGGCCGCUAUGGCGCCCACAGUGGCUGCUAUAGCGAGACCAUAGCAGCCACUAUGGUGAGACAAAAAAGCGGGCCCAUUUUAGACCUCAAUUUUCUAGAGAUUCAAUAGGUUGAUUACAUCCUAAAAUCAUUAAAAUCAUACGAGAUUGUCCAAAUAGAAGAACUAAGUUAUUGGUGGGUACCAAAGGAACUAUUCCAUCAUGUUUCUUAUUGGAAACAAGUGAAAAAAUCGUGAUUUUAUUUGUGUGGAGAGAAAAGCAACAUCGGACAACACAGGUUUAUUGGUGACCAUUAGGGAUCACCGCGAUUAUGAACGAUCACUAUGCUAAGUAAAAACACUGUUUGGAAUAUAAAUUUAGAGAAAUUGAAAGUGCUAUACUUCUAUAUUUGGAAGUUGGAACUAACAUGUAAGUCCUAUCAUUUCAAAUACAAAUGCAGUUGGGAAUUUAAGCAUUGAAAUAAUGUAUUAUGAAUCUCACUACAGGUUCAUAGCGGCAGCUAUAGCACCCUUAAUCCGCUAUCCACUUUGAUAUCCCCCAAACACUAAGUACCUACUAUCCGCCAUUUACAACUUUGUUUGUAGUCAUAAUGUCAUAGAGGUCAGACCAUAUCAGAUCAAUUUGCAAGAUUUAACAAGAAAUAUAGAAAUGAACCAAACACUCACAAUGUUAGCAACAUAGCAUCAAAUGGGAUUAAGCAUGGAUGUUAAUGCUCCAUAGCUACUGCAUAAACAUAAGAAAAGAGUCAAUGUAAACUUGUGUUGAAUUACCUAGUCAUCUACUGAAUGUGUAAUUUAGAAAUCUUGUAAUUUAGAAAUCUAUUAAUGCACAGCAUGAAAUGAUUUCUAAAAACCAAAUAAGAAGAAGAGGUGAAAACAAAAGAACCAAUGAUUAGUGAAGCAGAAUCAUCAACAAAGUACAAAGUAGAAAUACAGAAGACAGUGCAAAUCAAUCAAGGUACAACUUCAUAUCCUAGCACAAUGAAGACAACCAUUAAACUAGACAUUCUAUUAACGAAAAAAAUUUGAAAGUAAAGCAGCAUUGUAUUUACGUUUCUCCCUUCUCAAGCUUCUUAUAACAAGACAAAAACCUAACCAAACUAGAAAUCAAGAAGUAAAUUCCCAAACAGAGUUCAAUGCAAUUCCCAAACAGAGUUCAAUGCAAUAGAUAUUUAACUUGGUCUUUUGUCGUGAUUGUUGCACAAUUAUCAUUUCUAUGAUGGAGAACAAAGCUAAAUCUUGAGAUGAAGCACUUCUCAAAAACCUAGAAGAUCUCAUGAGUAAGCAAUAAAAGCCUUAAAACUUAUUGAAGAUACCUCAACUACAAACUCUACUAGCAACUAACAAUGUGCUAUCUGACAUCAUCUGAAAGGUGGUUUCUCAAAUCUACUCAGAGAGCCAUGGUUCUCGUGGCCAUGACAACUACUAUAACAGCUAUUCAUUCCAACUAGUUGGUCUACAUAUCGCAUAUGUCUAUGUUGCCUGCAAAGAUUGCUUGACACGUUAAAUUGAAUACAGUGGGGAACUCUCCUCCUCCAACAAUUUGAGUGAUGAAAAAGAAUGCGGUUUCCAAGCCUCUGUUUAAGACCAACUACUGAGCAGGAAAGGAUGUCAUGCUGGCCACAAGAUUUUCAGAAGAAAAAAGAUUGGUUGUGCAUUGCCAUUAUUGAAGGCUCUACAGCAACACCAUAUUUUAGAAAGGCACAUUAGGGCCCUACUCCCAUAUGCAGGCAUCUAAAUCUCUACAUCUGAAGAAGAAAUAAUACAACUAAUUUUAGUGAAAUUACAUUAGACAUUCAAUUUUUUGUUUCAAUGACAGAAUAUAAGGAUUGUCCAUGAAUUUAAUGAGCCACAUCGAACAAUUAAUCAAUCUAGGUCUAGAAAGGCAUUUGAAGCUUAAGAAAAAGAAUAAUUUCCUUUGAUGAUUUCUCCAAAAAGCUUAAGGAAAAAAAAAAAGGAUUUCCUUUGAUGAUAGCAAAAACCCUUGAAGACUAGAUUGCUAAAUGAGAGUAAAUAUCACCAAAACACGAACAAAGCAAAUAGCGGUCCAAAAGGGAAAUCAAGCAAGAGGUAAGUUCACAGCUUUCACAUUUAGCUAAUUAUCUGCUGCUAGUCUUAUGAAAAUCCAAAAUGACGCAUUGCCUACUAGUGAAAAUUAAGAAACAACAGUCAAUUGCUACCAAGUGCUGACAAUAGUUAAUGGUAUAUAACUUACUUAAUACAUUAAUGUCUAGGAUUAUUCCAAGUGUACGAAGGAAUAAGAUUCUACAAAACAUAUCAAAUGUGAUCUAAAUCUUUGUGUCACGAACGCAGGGGUAAAUAUUUUAUAAAAAAAAAGAAAAUAAUGCACCGAUAACCGACGCGCUCGGCUAAAAGGGGAAGGGCAUGUCUUUUUGGGUCAAAACCCAUUUAGUAAAAUAAAUAAAAAAAAUCUAAUUUAUAAAAAAAAAAUAACCAUAUUAAAAAGAUAAAAAUUUUUCCCAUCGUUCUCAUGACUCUCCACUGUUCCUCUCCAUAAGAGCCUCCAAAGGUAUUCUCUCUCUCCAUCUCUAUUUUGCAUUAGAAUUAUAAUUUUUUUGAAUUAGAUUUUUUUUUUUGCCAUUAAGAUUAUUUUUUAAUUAGGGUUAUGUUUUUUUAGAUAUUUUUCAAUUUUAAUCUAUUAUAAUGCGGACUAGAGACCUCAAUAUUUUAGUUGUUUUCUUCAACUUGUCAUUAACUAUUUUAUUUAUUUUACGCUAUUUUAAAAAAAAAAUCUCUUCAUAGGGUUAGGUCAGUAAAUGUGAUAGAGUAGGCGGGAGAAAUUGCUCAUUCAAAUGUCGCUUUUGUAGUAUGACUAAAAAUUUUCGAUCAAAGGAAUUAGAGGAUGUACACAAGUGACUCCACAAUAUCUUAACAAAUUUAAAAAAGAAAAUGAAGAAGCGAACUUUAGAGCAAAGAAUGCAAAAUCGAAAUCGGUACUGUUACCACCAUUUACUAGUCAAGUAGCCAAGGAGGAUCAUCAAGUGGUGUUAAUAUUGUUUCACUUAAUAGUUUUCAUCUGAAGAAAAGAAAGGGAAAUAGGGAUACGCCUUUGGAAAAGGCAAUUAAUUUACAAGCUAGUAAAUUAUUACAUACGAAAUAAUCUAGCUAGAAACCCUCACUACAUUAGUUCCUAUCUAUGUAUCACGGACACUUCUAUUAGCCUAGCGUGUCUGUGUCGGACACUGGCAUGUCCGAUGUGGACACUUCUUGGAAGCUCGUUUAAUGCCGAUCCAUAGAGCAAACAAUUAAAAAAAGUAUACAUAUUUUUAUUUUACUUUUUUUUUAUGCAUUAUAAAUGUAAGAUGAUAAAUAUUUUAGCUUUUUGAUGAAUGCAUACAAAUUUUUUUGACAAUAUAAAUAAAUUAUAUAUGGUGCGGAAUUUUUCUUCAAAUAUAUGAAUUAUCAAUAAAAAUUUUACUAACUUUCAUUCGUAUGAGAAAUAUAACAAUAUUUUACCAAAAUUAAUAUUUUGUAUAUAAUAAAUAUAUAUUAUUGUAUUUAAUAAUAUUAUAUUUUAUUAGGGGUGCCCAUGUCGUGUCCAUGUCCUAAUUUUUCUAAAGCUGCCAAAUCGUCGUGUCCAAGUCAUGUCAUGUCCUGUGCCAGUAUCCAUGACGCCUAGGUUCCUAUACAUACACGGUCAAUCAUAUGAUUAGUGGCUAUAUUUUUCACUGUGUUAAUAUGCUAAGAACUACUUUAUUUCAAAAGCAAAGAGCACAUGUAGAAAAUUUAUUAGAACCGAUUAAAGGAACAUGAAGCGAAAAAGAUAUAAAGUAUUGUUUGUGAUGGUUGGAGCAAUCCUGAAUGAAAACCAUUAAUUAAUUUCAUGGCCAUGACGAAGGAUGGUCCUAUAUUCUUAAAGGUAAUUCAUAAUGAAUGUGUGGAGAAAGAUAAGAAUCAUAUUCAAAUUUAAUUAAAAAGGUACUUUUGGAGGUUGGGACAUCAAAAAUAAUUUAAAUUAUAAUUGACAGCGCAUAUGUAUGUGGAAUGGCGGGGAGAAUUAUACAGCAACAAUUUCCUCAUAUACGGAGAAUAAUUAUAUUGCAUAUGAAGAAGGAUUAUGGAGAUAUAUGAUGACGUUACGGGUGUAAAGAAUUUUGUGAUGCGCCCCACUUCCUGGGGGUCAUCCAUCCUGAAAUUACUCUAGCCCUAGUCUCGCUCAACCCUCUUAACCUCUUGAACGUAGCCACCGCUACUAUAGCCGAGUGAAGAGUUUUAGCACUCUUACACCUUAUAUGUAGGACAAUUGCAAAUCCAAAGGGUGUGUCACAGUUAACCGGUUGGACCUAGCCACUGCCCAAAUGUUAUAGUCGGUGUUGCCGUGUCCAAGUCGUGUCCGCUGUUCUGUGCCUACAUCCGCGACGCAUAGAUCUAAAUCAUGGACAAAACAAUCGUAGGACAGUAUUAUCUCAACUAUAGUAGUAAUGUCCUCAAGGAUGCAUCUUUUAGAGUUGAAAUCCCUGAUGUUUGGUGCUUGUCGACUCUGCAGCCAUCAAGGGGAAAAGAGCAAGAAGAACAACAAAUAAAGAAAAAGUCCCCAAAAUAUAACUUGCAAAACGAGGGACACGUAAUUUGGAAUUACAGGAUGUUGAAUAAAGCUAUACAUCGGUAAAACAUGCACAAUUGGACAGAAAUUAAGCAUCUAAUUGGACAUCCAUUGAAGACGAUUAAUAAACGAUAACAGAUCGCGGUAAAAACACUCGUGGGUCCUUAAAAACCCUAAUAACUGGACGGACUCGACGGUGGAUUGAUUGAGUGGAAACCCUAUUUUUUGAAAGAGGAGGAAUCGGAAAGGAAGCGAAAGAAGAAAGAAAGAAAGAAUCAAUAUCAAUACAAAUACAAGUAUAGAGAGAAACAGAGAGGGGGAGGGUUGGUGAGCAGCACCUGCAUGCAAGUCUCGUCCCAGUCGUGGCCGAAGCGGAUGAUGACGAGGCGCUCCUCCUCCGCCAAGAUUGCCUGAUCCACUGCCCAUCCCGAGUGCAGGUGCGGAAGAAGGUACGACAUCUCUCCUCUCACUCUCUCUCUCUCUCUCUCUCUAGCGAAUCCCCUCUCGAGUCGCACAGGCUCCGAUUCCGUGUGAGGAGGCGACCGACGUAUAGACAGCCGAAACUUCUGGAUUUUUUCUUUUUCUUUUUUUAAUUUCCCUUCACCGUCACUAAUUUUUUAGAAUUAAACUUUAUUCUAAAGUUGAAACCAAAUGUCGUUCCUCCAUCGAACUACAUGAUCUGAAUAUUAAAUACAAUAUGCAUGAAUAUUAAAUACAACUAGCAACUAACCCAAUGCACAGAUUUUAAUUU
rnacentral:lncRNA from 1 species